UUCCGAUCUGUCUUCAAAAGAGGCCAAGUCAGGCAAAUGAGAGCGUUUUAUCAGAACAUAUCACUCUGAUUCCCGACGAAAAGACUCUGACCCCAGCAGAAAAGUAAAGAAGGUCCUUCCGAUCAGUCUUCAAAAGAGGCUAAGUCAGGCAAAUGAGAGAGUCUUAUCAGAACAUAACACUCUAAUCCCUGACGGAAAGACUCCGGUCCCCUGCAGAGAAGAUGCAUGAGAAAGUCCAAUCGGUAACACCCCAAUCCCCGGCUAAGAAAUAAAAUGAGAGAGUCUUAUCGAUGAAAACCUUCACAAGCACCAUAAGGCGAUGAAAGUUGAGAGAAAAAGCCAAAAUGAGAGAAGCUUGACAGUGAAAACCUUCGGGCACUACAAGUCGAAUAGUGGUGAGAAUCAGAUGGGGAAUCGCCAAACGAAGAUCUUAAAAGAUGAUUAACGUUGGAGGAUAGGCCAUGUGUGCACGUCAUGACCAUUAGAGUCGGUAUCCGCGUUUGAUAGAUUUUUAUUUUAUAGUUUUCUCUUGUUAAAGAGUCAUCUCUUUUCUUUUAUUUUUGUUUCUUUUAACCUUUCUCCUUUCAUAGAAAAUUCCCCAAUAGAGUCUGUUUGGUCAAAACAAGUGAGAAAUGACUUCAAAAUAUGCCACCAGCUUCCAAUUAGGCAAGAUGAGAUCUAACUGGUGCAUCCAAGGGGUAUGAGUCUGGAAGGAACAAGCGCGAGGCCUGUGUCGGGAUAUCCCCAGCAAAAUGAGAUUGACGAAAGGGCCGACCAGGUUCAAGAAAGAUAUCCUGCAGGAAUCAAAGGUUAUAGACCUCAAGGCCAAGGCCCGUGGACAAAGAACAUGGUAGAGAGUGAUGGGCAUGAUUUGGGAAGGUCAUGUGAGACUCAAGGGUUCGAAAAAUGCUAGUACCCAAGCUGUGCCACUAAAUAAGAGGGAUAUCCCCAGAGAAAGUGGUUUAUCAGCAAAACAUUGCAAAAUAUUCAAGGAAAAUCAACUGUCACGGAAAUGAUCAUAUGGGAAAUAACGGUGAGAAAUUUGUGAAUAAGGAAUCGUCAAGAAGGUCGGGAGUUAUCAGCUCAGCUUCAAGAUGGUUAGACAGCGCAGAGCGUGGUAAAGAGAAGAAGAAAAUCAUCCUAUCUGGAGUAUCACAACCAUCUACCCCAUUUUUAAACUGACCUAACUUUUCUUUGAUGUAAAAUAGGGACGUGAAAUUUCAUUGAUGGUAGAGAAGCGUGAUGCGAGGAGGUUUAGCAAGCUGGGGCAGAAAAUUUUCUUUUCAUUUUGAAAAUUUUCUGGAAAUCCGGUAUCCACUUUGGAGAAUAAGGGAAAUAAGACAAGUGUAAAGGGAAGUGGUCUUCGAACCAAUGUUAUCCCCAGCGCAACACCAGUUUUGAAGGAUUGAAAAUCCCCCAUCAGUGUUAUCCUCAACAGCGUUAUCCCCAGCUGAUGACAUUUUUAUCCCCAGACCAGUUUUGAAGGAUUGAAAAUCUCCCAUCAGUGUUAUCCUCAACAACGUUAUCCCAGCUGAUGACAUUUUUAUCCCCGACAGUGUUAAGAGAAAAAUAAAAUUUUAAAGGAAGUAGUUAUGCAAAAAAACAAACAGAGAGAACAGGAGGGGAAGAAAAGAUCCCCAACAGAAAUAUCAUCUCUUGCAAAUAAUAUCCUCCACAGCAAAUUUUGAUAGCGUAAUGAAAUGCAAGGCUGGGAAAGGAGAGAAGGAAAAACAAUCCCCAGCAGGAGUGGCACGGCCACUCACCACAUUUUAAACUAACAAAGUUUUCUUUGAUUUGAAGCAGGAAAAAGAAAUAUCGUUGAUUGCGGGAAGACACGCCACAAGGAAAAGCACAAAAACUGGGGCAGAAAAUUUUCUGCCAUUGUUGAAAAUUUUCUCGGAGGAACGAGGAAGCCUUUUAUGUCAUUGAAGUCGGGAUCCUGCCCGUAGAAAGGAAGCGUUAUUUUUAUGUUGUUGCAGUCGGGAUCCCGCCUCCGUUCUCGGGAGCCCGCUCGUAGAACAGAGGUGUUAUUUUUAUGUCAUUGAAGUCGGGAGCCCGCGCGUAGAACAGAGGCUUUAUUUUAAAGUUGUUGAAGUCGGGAGCCUGCCCGUAGAACAUAUGCGUUAUUUUUAAGUUGUUGAAGUCGGGAGCCCGCCCGUAGAACGGAGGCGUUAUUUUCAAGUUGUUUAAGUCGGGAUCCCGCACGUAGAACGGAUGCAUUAUCUUUAAGUUGUUGAGGUUGGGAGCCCGCCCGUAAAACGGAGGCGUUAUGUUUAAGUUGUUGAAGUUGGGAGCCCUCCUGUAGAACAGAGGUAUUUAUUUUAAGUUAAAAGAGUCAGGAGCCCGCCUGUAGAACUGAGGUAUUUAUUUUAAGUUAGAAGAGUCAGGAACCGGCCUGUAGAACGGAGAUAUUCAUUUUAAGUUAAAAGAGUCAGGAGCCCGCAUGUAGAACGGAUGUAUUUAUUUUAAGUUAGAGGAGUCAGGAGCCCGCAUGUAGAACGGAGGUAUUUAUUUUAAGUUAGGGGAGUCAGGAGCCAGCCUGUAGAACGGAGGUAUUUAUUUUAAGAUAGAGGAGUCAGGAGCCCUCUUAUAGAACAUAGGUAUUUAGUUUAAGUUAAAGGAGUCAGGAGCCCGCCUGUAAAACAGAGGUAUUUAUUUUAAGUUAGAGGAGUCAGGAGCCCGCCUGUAGACAGAAGGUAUUUAUUUAAAGUUAAAGGAGUCAGGAUCCCGCCUGUAGAAUGCAGGUAUUUAUUUUAAGGAGUCAGGAGCCUGCAUGUAGAACAGAGGUAUUUAUUUUAAGUUAAAGGAGUCAGGAGCCCGCCUGUAAAACGGAGGUAUUUAUUUUAUGUUAGAGGAGUCAGGAGCCUGCAUGUAGAACAGAGGUAUUUAUUUUAAGUUAAAGGAGUCAGGAGCCCGCCUGUAAAACGGAGGUAUUUAUUUUAUGUUAGAGGAGUCAGGAGCCUGCUUGUAGAACAGAAGUAUUUAUUUUAAGUUAAAGGAGUCAGGAGCUCGCCUGUAAAACGGAGGUAUUUAUUUUAAGUUAGAGGAGUCAGGAGCCCGCCUGUAGAACGGAGGUAUUUAUUUUAAGUUAGAGGAGUCAGGAGCCCGCCUAUUGAACGGAGAGGAAAGACGAUUCUAUUUUUCAAAAAAUAUUGAUGAAGUCAGGAGCUCGUCUGAAGAGAGGAAUGGCGAUUUUAUUUUUUUAAAGUUGUUUACUGAAAUCAGGAGCCCGCCUGAAGAGAGGAAAGGCGAUUUUAUUUUUAAAAGAUGUUAUUGAAAUCAGGAUCCCGCCUGAAGAGAGGAAAGGCGUUUCUAUUUUUUUUAAAUAUUGAUGACGUUAGGAGCCCGCCUGAAGAGAAGAAUGGCAGUUUUAAUUUUUCAAAGUUGUUUAUUGAAAUCAGGAGCCCGCCUAUAGAAUGGAUGUAUUUAUUUUAAGUUAGAGGAGUCAGGAGCCCGCAUGUAGAACGGAGGUAUUUAUUUUAAGUUAAAAGAGUCAGGAACCCGCCUAUAAAACGAAGGUAUUUAUUUUAAGUUAGAAGAGUCAGGAGCCCGCCUAUAGAACAGAUAUAUUUAUUUUAAGUUAGAAGAGUCAGGAGCCCGCAUGUAGAACAGAGGUAUUUAUUUUAAGUUAGAAGAAUCAGGAGCCCGCCUGUAGAACGGAGGUAUUUAUUUAAAGUUAAAAGAGUCAGGAGCCCGCCUGUAGAACGAAAGUAUUUAUUUUAAGUUAGAGGAGUCAGGAUCUAGCCUGUAGAACAGAGGUAUUUAUUUUAAGUUAAAAGAGUCAGGAGCCCGCCUGUAUAACGGAUGUAUUUUAAGUUAGAAGAGUCAGAAGCCCGCCUGUAGGAUGGAGGCAUUUAUGUUAAGUUAAGUUAAAAGAGUCAGGAGCCCACAUGUAGAACAGAGGUAUUUAUUUUAAGUUAGAAGAGUCAGGAGCCUGCAUGUAGAAUAGAUGUAUUUAUUUUAAGUUAGAAGAGUCAGGAGCCCGCCUGUAGAACAGAGGUAUUUAUUUUAAGUUGAAAGAGUCAGGAGCCCGCCUGUAGAACCGAGGUGUUUAUUUUAAGUUGAAAGAGUCAGGAGCCCGCCUGUAGAACGGAGGUACUUUUUUUGAGUUAGAAGAGUCAGGAACCCGCAUGUAGAACGAAGGCAUUUAUUUUAAGUUAAAAGAGUCAGGAGCCCGCCCGUAGAACAGAGUUAUUUAUUUUAAGUUAGAAGAGUCAGGAACCCGCUUGUAGAACAGAGGUAUUUAUUUUAAGUUACAAGAGUUAGGAGCCCACCUGUAGAACGAAGGUAUUUAUUUUAAGUUAGAAGAGUCAGGAGCCCGCCUGUAGAACGAAGCUAUUUAUUUUAAGUUAGAAGUGUCAGGAGCCCGCCUGUAGAAAGGAGGUAUUUAUUUUUAGUUAGAAGAAUCAGGAGCCCGCCUGUAGAACAGAGGUUGUUAUUAUUGUAAGUUGAUGGAAUCAGGAGCCCACCUGGAGAAUGGAGGCUUAUUUAUCUUUAUGUUGCUGAUGAAGUGAGGAGCCCCCUUGCUGAGCAGAGGAAUACAUUUCAAGAUCAAACCAGAAGUCAGUAAUGCGGAGGGUUACAACAAAAGCCCCAACAUAACAAAUGUUGAUGCAAGAAAGUCGUCUCCCUAGUGGAAUUGCCAAGAAACGUAAUGAGAGAAGCCAUAUCCCCAGCAGAACAAGCAAAAAAUCAAUGAAAACUAGUGUUCAGACAAGCAAAAGGUCAGUGUCAUCCACAAACUCUCGGAAGAAAGCACUGCAAGAAACGCAUGCCGACAAGAAAGCAAGGCCAGCAAAAAAUAAAUUGAAGAUAGAUAGGAUCUUGUGAUCCGUAGGCUAGCCUAGCUUCUUGUUUUUCCCUUUGACGCGGUGCAAUAAGGACAUCAGUAAGGCAAUGGUAACGGUAUACAACAGCAGCAACAACAGUACCACAAUAUCCAGGUAGUCCCAGCUACCAAGACUUCCCGAAUUACAUUGAUCUGAUUCCUUUUUAGCCAAGGAUAUGUAGGAAACCUUUGAAGCAGAGGUUUGGUCAAAUUUUUCAAAGAUUGCUUACCACGGAGUAUUCGAAACGGGAAAAAAUCGCUCGUAUCCGCUCACUUUAUUUUUGCACAAAACUUUUCGUGCUUUCGAACAAAGAGGGGCAACUGUGAGCACGUGAGUUUUGCCCUAUAUAUGAGUUACACCCAGAAAAUUCAAAAUAAAACAAUUUUUAGUUUGUUUGCAAUUUUUGUGAAAUUUUGUGCUAUUUUUCUUGUAUUAUUUACAUUUUUGUAAGUGCGUGUUUAUUUGGUUAAGUAAAUAAAAAUAUAAAAAUAUGUCGCAUUUGCAUUUAGGUUUUAAGUUUACAAUUUGAGUAAUUAAGUUUGUUUUUAUAAAAUAAAAAUUACAAAAAUAUGCAUCGUUUGCAUUUUAGCAUUUAAUUUCAAAUUGUGUGAUUUUCUUUUAUUUAAUUGUGUGUGUUUACUGUUAUUAGGAGUUAAUUAGUAUUUAAAGAUAAUUUUGGUUUUUAUAAUUUAAUCUUAGCAUUAUAGUUUCAUUAAUUAGGAAGUUGAGUAAAAGAAAAGAGAACAAAAAAUAGAAGAAAAAACGGAAUUGGGCCUCUACCUAAAUUUCAAAUCUAGACCCAAAACAUUCCCUACCCAAUCCAAAACUCCCCGACCCGGUUCAACCCCAAAUAACCAAACCCUAUGCAUCCUAAACUCAUCGGCCGUAUGGCACCUUGAUGAGACCAAAAAUGGAGGUCUUCUUCCUCUUCAAGAAGAGUUAACCAAAAACCCAUCUCCAUGCCCGAAACGAACGACCACCUUCACGCCUGAGCUCCGUCAUCCCCCACGCCUCGAACCGCUGCUACUGCUUCGUCAUCUUUAACAGCCUUCACGUUGUCCCCCAUCUCCAGUAGCCUUCACGUCGUUCCCCAUCUCCAACAGCCAUGGUUGCUGUUUCUUCUUCUUCUUCGUUCCAGCAGCAACGAGCAGAACCCAAACUUUUCAUCACGCAACAACCAUGAACAACCCCUCAAACAACUCACAGCCAAGAACGAGCUCGAUGACAACCACUGCCCAUGAAAACCAACCAGUCCCGUCCCCUUUCCCCGUUGCCAGUCGUGAACUAGCGCCUAGCGACCCUCCCCGACGUCCCAACACCACUGCUCGAUUCCACCAGCCAGCUCACAAGCAAAACAACACCACCCCAUACCCCACAAAACUCUUUCGCCCAAACGCACCAAUAUCCCAUGCCAAACAACCCCUCCCAUUAACAGCAUAUCGCCGGAACCCGAACGAUCGAGACGGAGAAGAGGCCAGGUCCGAAAAAAAAUGCACUUCAUCUCCUGAUUUUCGUUCCAAAAUAUUGAGAUGGUUUGAGUUCUGAGGUCGUUGUUUAGAUUCCGGGCAGACUCGAAUUUAUUUUGGGGUUCAAAAGUUCCGGGAAGAUUUGUCUCGUUCAAUUUCGUCGUUGUUUCGAUCUUGUUAGUUGGUUUAAGUUUUAUUUAUGUCCGUAUAUUUUGUUUGAUAUUUUCAGAUCUAAAAUUAGUAUAUGUUUGAUUAUGUUCUUCAUUCGUGUUUAUUAUUUUCUUGUUUAUUUUCUUCAGUUUGUUUUUAUUUAAAAGAAUUAAGUUUUAAUGUAGAAGUAUGUUAGUCUUUCAUCUUGGUUGCAAUAUUGUAAGAUUUAAUUUGAAGUUUAAUUGAUUAUAGAGUUUAGUGAUUUGAAUCUGUUUUAUUGUUGUGUUAAUGUCUAAAUUUGGAUAUGAGUUAGAGAUUUAAAUUUAUUUGUUUGAUCUGUUAAGUUUAAUUUGAAUCCGAGUUUAGUGAUUUGAAUUUACUUAUUUGUUGUUGGUGAUUAAUAUGAAAGUAUGUUUAUUGUUAAAAAAAUAUUGUUCCGUCAAAAUAAUUUUGGUUCUUUGGUAUUCAUCAGAUUAAUUGUUGAAUUUGGUUAAGAAUUUGUUAUAGUUGCUAUAUUUUUUGUAAUUGAUUUAGGUGAAUUGGUUAUAACUGAUAGUGGUAGAGUGGUAAUUUUAAUAAUUUUGGUGGUAUUUUUGGAAUUUAAAAUAUAAAGAAUUUAAAAAAAAAAGUGGGUAGCAUAAUUAUGUAAAGUAAAGAAGAGGACAAGACAUGUGGGGAGCAUAAUUAAUAAAGUAAAAGAGGGUGUGGACAGUGGGGCCCACGUUUGACUGCUUUUGCUGAUUGGGAAUCAGAAAUAUUAGGUAUUAAUAAAAGGGGAGGAAUAAUAAUUAAAGGGAGUAGAAAAGGUUCUUGCAUUUUGGGCUAUAUAAUAGCAGUCAUUUAACACUUAGAAGGGGAGAAUUUUAGAGAUAAAAACUUCAGAACUUAAGAAUUCAGUCUUUGAGAAUUAAAAACAAAAAGUGAGGUCUUUUCUUUAUUGUUGAACAUCAGAAUUAGUACUGUUACUACUUCACUAGUUAUUGUUGGAUUUUCUGCUUGGUUUUUAAAUCUAUUCUUGGGGUCUUUCUGCACUAUUUGUUACUGGUUCACGACUUUGGUUGUUGUGUUGUGCUACUGCUGCACUACUGACUUCUUCCUCUUAUUUGCUUUCUAAAUACCAGGUACACAGCUGAUACACUGGUUAUGUAAGCUGAAACUUGAAGCAUGAAUAAGAAAUGAAGAGUUGAAGUUUUAAAUUUGUUGUAUUUGUCUACUUGCUCGUAUAUACAGUAGAAUACUUCUUUCAUUAGAAUCAUAUAGUUAUUUGUUUGUGUAUAAAUAGCCAUGAUGUGUUAAUUCGUUAUUACUUGUCAAGAAGCAUGCUCGAUAUUAUUGAUUAAUUUUAACAUGUAAGCAGUUUAGGAUUAAAAUCAGAUAAUUAAGCAGAAUAUGACGGUUGAACGACCGUGCUAGAACCACAAAACUCGGGAAUGCCUAACACCUUUUGGGGUUUACAGAAUUCCUUAUCCGGAUUUUUGGUUCGCAGACUGUUAAACAGAGUCAUUAUUUUCCUCGAUUCGGGAUUAAAAUCGGUGACUUGGGACACUAUAAAUCUCCCAAGUGGCGACUCUGAAUUAAAUAAACAAAUCCUGUUUCGAUUGUCCUUUGAUUGGAAAAACUCCCUUGCGCCCUCGCGGGGGCAAAAAAAGGAGGUGCGACAAACGAUGGGCCUAAUUAAAUCCUUCUCAAGAAAAUCCUGCAACUGAUCCUUUAACUUUUUCAACUCUGGCGGGGCCAUGCGAUACGGCGGAAUAGAAAUGGGCUACGUGUCUGGAGCCAGAUCAAUACAGAAAUCAAUAUCCCGAAUUGGGUGGCAUACCCGGCAGGCCUAAAGGGAAAACCUCAGGAAACUCCUGAACGAUGGGGACAAAAUCAAUAGAAUGGACCUCUGUGCUAGAAUCACGAACAUACGCGAAAUAAGCUAAACACCCCUUCCCGACCAUGCAUCGAGCCUUCACAUAUGAUAUAACACUGCGGGUGGUAUAACCUGGAUUCCCUCUCCACUCCAAACGGGGAAAAUCUGGUAAAGACAAGGUCAUAAAUCAUAAUUUUGGCAUGGCAAUCCAAGAUAGCAUGAUACGGGGGCAACCAAUACAUCCCUAAUAUGACGUCAAAAUCCACCAUAUUUAAAAUCAACAAAUCAGCACGGGUCUCAAGACCUCAAACACUACCGCAGUGGAAUGAUGAACUCAGUCAACCAUUAUAGAAUCACCCACUGGUAUAAAUACAUAGGCAGGAAUACUUAAAGCAUCACUAGGCAUAACCAGCUAGGGUGCAAAAUAGGAUGACACAUAAGAAUACGUAGACCCAAGGUCAAAUAGCAUUGAAGCAUCUCUAUCACAGACCAAUAUAGUACCUAUGAUAACUGCAUUUGAAGACCUAGCCUCUAGCCUGGCUGGAAGAGCAUAACACCGGGGUUGGGCCCCACCUCCUUGAACUAUAUCUCUAGGACGACCGACUGCUUGUUGGCCUCUACAUCUCCCAGUCCGAGCUCCACCUCUAUGAUCUCUACCUCCACCUCUAUUACCUCUACCCCCGCCUCUAACUAGCUAGACAAGCUGUGGAACACCUGGUGCCUGAAUCAUAGCGCGAGGACCCUGCUUCUGGGAACUACCCGAAGCUUGAGGGUAAAAUCUAACAAUAUGACUCGGGUUACCACAAGCGUAACAAGCCCUCGACUGCUAAGACUGCCAACCCUAUCAACCUGAAUGUCCUCCCGAACACUUUGAAGCGGUGGUGCACUGAUGGGAGCUGGUGGUGCACUGAAAGACUGCUGAUCAGAAUAAUGCAGCUGAGAACCACUACCAUCUGAAGUACCAUGAGAGACUUGGAGAGCUGACUAAAAGUGCCUAGGAGGAUGUCCUCUACCAUAAGAAUCUCUACCUCCAUAUGAGGUACCACUAAAUCUACCUGCAUGACGAGGCCUCUAAUCAGACCCAUGACCGCCUCCCUAUGAUAAAGCCAUCUUAACUCUAUAAGCCGCAUUGGCCGCCUCCUAAAAGAAAUCUCACUCCUGGCUCCCAUAGCCAUAUAGAGACGGAUGGGCUGAAUCAAACCAUCAAUAAACCUCCGCACCCUCUCUCUCUAUCGGUGGGGAGUUUAAUAAUAGUAUGUCGAGAUAGAUUAAUAACCAGGUCUCAUAGUGUGUAACUGUCAUAGAGCCCUGCUGGAGGCGCUCGAACUACCUGCGAAGAGCCUCUCGCUGAGUAACUGGGAGAAACUUCUCCAAAAACAACUCUGCAAACUAGUCCCAAAUCAAGGAUGGUGACCCUGCUGGUUUGGCUAAACAAUAGUUUCUCCACCAAGUCUUGGCGGAUCCUACUAGACGAAAGGUGGCAAAGUCGACCCCAUUAGUCUCCACAAUACUCAUAGUUCGAAGAACCUCGUGGAAGCUAUAUAUGAAAUCCUGGGGAUCCUCUGAAGAAGCACCACUGAAUGUGGUUGUGAAGAGAUUGGUGAACUUAUCCAGCCUCCACAAAGCAUCUGCCAACAUAGCCGCUCCAUCGCCUGUAUGAGCCACUGUACCUGGCUGAACUGCCACUGCUGGCUGCACCGCUGGAAUCGGAACCUGAGGAGCUGCCUGCCCCAGAUUAUGUGUAGCAGGAGUUUGAACACCUCCUCCAGCCUUAGAAUUGGCUGGUUCUACUAGAAGCAAACCCGCUCGAGAGACGCUUUCCAUAAGGCCUACAAAUCUGAACAAAGCGUCCUAAAGAACUGGGGUGUCUAUGAAUCCCUCUAGGACCUGAGUUGGGCCCACCAUAGCUGCUGGAGCUGGAACCUUCUUGUCAUAAUCAACCUGAGGCUCCACCUCUCGGGCUACUGCUCGGGGUUGAGCCCUUCCCAUGCCUCGACCUCUAGCAUGGCUUCUUCACCCUAUGCCCCUCGUAGGAGUUGCUACUGGGGGUUCGGGCUUCUGCGCGGUAGAAAAGGAAGCACGUGUUCUCGCCAUCUACAAAAGAACAGAGUAGAAAAACAAUUAUUAUUUGAGAAACAGAAUCGCACGACAAGAUAGAACAAAAGUGAAGUUUUCCUAUUUCUGUAGCUUGUGGGGGAUAAAUACAGAUGUCUCCAUACCGAUCCCUCAGACUCUACCAAGUUUGUCCAUGAGUUGUCAGACCUAUGCAACCUAGUGCUGUGAUAACAACUUGUCACGAUCCAGAUUUUCCAGCCCCAGGAGUAGUGAUUGCGCAUACUAUGAGGAGCUAGGGAAGCCAAUUAUUUAUUAGCUCUUUUAGUAAAUAUCGACAUUAUUAAAAACAACGAAAUAUUUAAUAGAAAAGCGGAAGUCUUUAAUAUAAAUAAACUGAAAGUAAUGUGAAAGUCCAAUACAACUCUACCCAAAAACUGGAGUCACUAACUCAACGACAUCCUAUGACUUAACCGUGUGAUCAAAUUUCCAAAAUAACAUCAAAAUCAAUGAAUUAAACCUCAAAAUCAUCAUCAAUCAAACUUUAUAAUCUUUUAUUUUUAGAGAUUUAGGCCCGAAACACGUCAAAUGACGUCCGAUUUCAACCAAAUUUCAUAGAAACAUCUUAAAUCACAUAUACGAUCUGUACCGAGUGCCGGAACAAAAAUACGGUCCCGAUACCAACACGUCCUAAUCCAUUUUUAUUUCGAAUUUCCAUAUCAAUUUCAGAAAAAUAAUUUCUUUUAAAAAUUUAUUUCUCAGGUUUGGGACCUCGAAAUUCGAUUCUGGGUAUACGCCCAAGUCCCAUAUUUUCCUACGGACCCUCCGGGACUGUCAAAUCAUGGGUCGGGGUCCGUUUACCCAAAAUGUUGACCGGAGUAAGUAUUAAUCAUAUUAAUAUCAAAAAUCAUCAUUUGUCUCAUAGAAUUCAGAUUUAAGCUUUUAGACUGCACGUCCAGAUUGCGUAGGAAAUUGAGGCAAUCCUAAAUGAGGUUUUCAAGGCCUUGGGACACAGAAUGAGUAAGAACACAGGUAAUGACCUACGCACACAAAUUGAGGCAAUCCUAAAUGAGAGUUUCAAGGCCUUGGAGAUACAGAAUGAGUAAGAACACAGGUUUAGGUCAUCACAUUCACCCUCCCACCUUCGGGGGUGAGCGACAUGAGGAUGCCUAGGACUUCAUUAACAGGUGCAGUGACAGACUGCACAACAUGAGGAUAUUAGUGUCACAUGGAGUCGACUUUAUCACUUUUCUACUUAAGGGCAGGGCCCGUAGAUGGUGGCAGUCCUAUGCACUUGGCAGGACAUCAGGUUCUCCUCCCCUUACUUGGGGUCAGUUCACACAGUUAUUCCUGGAUCGUUACAUUCCACCCUCUGAGAGGGAAGAGCUACGGUAUCAGUUUGAGCAUCUUGAGCAGGGCUAGAUGCUAGUGAUUGAUUAAGAGGAGAGGUUCUCUAAGUUGUCUUGCCAUGCACUCAUGAUACUUCCCACAGAUGUAGAGAGUGUGUGGAGGUUUGUUGCGGGGUUACACCCUACUAUCCGAUCUGGUGUGGCCCGAGAGGUUGAGAUAGGUACAUGGUAUCAGUUAGUGGUUGAGAUUUCUCGUAUGAUUGAGGGUUAUCGUCUGAGGGGUUGAGGGCAGAUGAACCAGGAUAAGAGGGCUAGAUUCUCUGGAGAGUUUAGAGUUGCCCCGUCUAGGGGUAGAGGUCAGUUUGGGAGGGGUCAGCCCGGCAGGCCCCAGUUUCAGCACCACCACCUUCUCGAGGUGCUCCAAUGCGCUCCUAUUUCAUCGCCAUGCCAGAGAGGUCUUAUUGCCCUCCAGUUAUUCGGGGCUUCUCCAAUGUGUAUUCAGGUCAUUUAGAUUCUUCCAAUUCUUAUUUCAGUACUAUGCCGGAGAGUUCAUACCGCCCACCGGCUAUUUAGGCUUCUUCUAGUGGAUCUUCGGGUUUUUAGAGUCAGCCCUUUGAGAAGCAGGUCGGCGCACUAUAGAGUUAUUUUGAGUGCAAAGAUCUUGGACACAUGAGGAGAUAUUGCCACAGACUCCGGGGCAAGGUAGUGCAGCAGAGUCAGCAACACAUUAUUCUAGCACCUACUACCCAACCACUUAGAGGUAGAGGGCAAGCUGGUAGAGGCCGUCCCAGAGGUAGAGGUCAGGAUGGUAGAGGCCGUCCCAGUGGAGGAGUUCUGGUAGGGAGAGAUCAGCCAUCUACUGCUCAGUCAGGUGGAGGCCAGUCAGCCGAUGCUUCAACAAGAUUCUAUGCCCUUCCGCCAGGCAAGAUACAUUGGCCUCAGACGCCGUCAUCACAAGUAUUAUUUCCGUCGGCAGUAGGGACGCUUCAGUAUUAUUUUAUCCAGGGCCUACUUAUUAAUAUGUAUCAUCUCUGUUUGCUCGUUUACUGGUUAUUUCUCCUGAGCCUUUGGGCACUCCUAUUCAUGUGUCCACUCCCGUGGAUGAUUCUGUGGUUGUGGAUCAGAUCUACUGGUCCUGUAUGGUCACCUUCUGUGGUUUUGACACUAGAGAAGAUCUUUUGUUGCUUUAUAUUAUUGAUUUUGAGAUCAUCCUGGGCAUGGAAUUGUUAUCUCUACAUCACGCCUACCUAGAUUUCCAUGCCAAGAUUGUUUCACUAAUGAUGCCAGGGUUGCCGAGGUUAGAGUGGAAGGGUUCCAUCGUUGAUACGCCUAAUAGGGUUAUUUCUUUCCUGAGGGCUCAGCAUAUGGUCGAGAAAGGGAAUUUGGACUAUUUAGCUGAUGUUCGAGACAACGUUGCAGAGUCUCCGAAGAUUGAUUCAGUCCCAAUAGUUCGAGAGUUUGCCGAUGUUUUUCCUUCUGAUUGUCCUGGCAUGCCUCCAGAUUGUGAUAUUGUUUUCUGUAUUGAUUUGGAUUUGGGCAUUUAGCCUAUAUCUAUUCCACUACACCGUAUGGCUCCAAAGGAUUUGAAGGAGCAGCUUCAGGAGUUAUUGGCGAAGGGGUUUUUAGGCCAGUAUGUCGCUUUGGGGUGCCCCAGUGUUAUUUGUGAAGAAGAAGGAUGUGACUAUGCGGAUGUGCACCGAUUACCGCCAAUUGAACAAAGUCACCACCAAGAACAAGUAUCUGUUGCCUCAUAUUUAUGAGUUGUUCGACCAGUUGCAGGGUGUCAGGGUGUUCUCUAAGAUCGACUUGAGGUCAGGGUAUGAUCAGCUGAAGAUUCGGGACUCAAAUGUUCCUAAGACUGCAUUGAAGACUAGAUAUGGCCAUUAUGAGUUUCCGGUAAUGUUCUUUGGCUUGACUAAUGCCCCAGCAAAAUUUAUUGAUUUGAUGAACAUGGUAUUCAGGCCUAAUAUUUAUUCCUUUGUUUUCAUCUUCAUUGACGACAUCUUGAUAUACUCACAUAGCCUGGGGGAGCACGAGCAGGUGGCGUUAUUGUGGAAUGUUGUUUCUGGAGAGGGUAUCAAAGUGGAUCCCAAUACGAUUGAGGCAGUUCAGAGUUGUCCACAUUCUACUUCAGUGACUGAGAUCAGGAGUUUUCUAGGGCUGGGCAGGUUAUUACCGGCGAUUCGUGCAGGGCUUUUUAUCUAUGGCAGCACUUUUUAUUAGAAUUAACCAGAAGGAUGCUCUAUUCUGCUGGUCUGACGAUUUUGAGGAGAGCUUCUAGAGGAUCAAGACGGCUUUGACUACAACACCAGUUCUUGUGUUUCCUUCUGGUUCAAGGAUAUAUACAGUGUAUUAUGACACUUCACGUGUUGGUUUGGGAUGUGUAUUGAUGCUGGAGGGGCGAGCUAUUUCAGGUGCCAUGAAGAUGUAUCGUGACUUGAGGUAGCAUUAUUGGUGGCGGAGAAUGAAGAAGGAUAUGAUGGAGUUUGUAGCUAUUUGAAUUGUCAGCAGGUUAAGUAUGAGCACCAGAGGCCGGGUGGCCUACUUCAGCAGACGCCUAUUCCGGAGUGGAAGUGGGAGCGCAUCACCAUGGAUUUCGUAGUUGGGUUGCCCCAGCAGAAGUUUGAUUCAGUAUGGGUCACUAUGGAUAGGUUGACCAAGUUGGCUCACUUCAUUCUGGUGGCGACUACUUAUUUUACGGAGAGGUAUGCUAGGAUUUAUAUUCGGGAGAUAGUACGGUUGCACGUCAUGCCAGUUUCUAUCAUAUCAGACAGAGGCCCUCACAUAGACCAACGGCCAGUCGGACCAGACAAUUUAGAUUUUAGAGGAUAUGCUUAGAGCAUGUGUGAUUGACUUUGUAGGGAAGUAAGAUCAGUUUUUGCCUUUAGCAUAGUUUGCGUACAACAACAGCUACUAGUCCAGCAUAGAGAUGGCUCGUACAAGGCUUUAUAUGGUCGAUGUUAUCUUUCUACUAUCGAUUGGUUCGAUUCCGGCGAGGAUAAGUUACUUUGUACAGAUGUGGUACAGGAUGCCAUGUUUAAGGUGAAGUUAAUUUAGGAGAGGCUUCGCACAGCUCAGUCUAGACAGAAGAGUUACGCAGAUCAGAAGGCGCGUGAUGUAUUAUUCAUUGUUGGCGAGAAGGUUUUCCUGAAAGUCUCACCAAUGAAAAGCAUUAUGAGGUUCGGGAAGAAAGGCAAGUUGAGUCCAAGGUUUAUUGGUCCCUUUAAGGUGUUGAAGCGAGGUGAGGAGGUUGUCUAUGAGCUUGCUUUACCCCCUAACUUAUCGGGAGUUCAUCCAGUUUUUCAUGUAUCGAUGCUUAGGAAGUAUCACGCUGACCUAUCCCAUGUGUUGGACUUUAGUACUAUUUAGUUGGAUGAGAGUUUAGGUUACAAGGAGGAGCCAUUUGCCAUUAUUGAUAGACAAGACCGGCAGUUGAGGUCCAAGAGGAUUUUUGCAGUGAGGGUCCAGUGGAGGGGCCAACCAGUCGAGGAGGCAACUUGGGAGUCCGAGGAGGACAUGCGGAGCAGAUAUCCCCAUUUAUUCAGCAGUUCAGGUACCUUUCUACGUUCGUUCAAGGACGAACAUUUGUUUAAGAGGUGGAUAAUGUAAUUACUGGUCAUUUUGCCUUUUAGAACCCGGUUGCCUUAAAUAAAACUUCUCAUGCUUGCAUUAGCUAAUUUACGACUUGCGGGCAUGGUAGGUUCGAGAGUUGGAAGAGUUGUGAGUGAAAUAUGUUCAUUCAUUUCUUUAGGAUUCUCUUAAAAGAUUGAGUUUGACUUUGGUCAAUUUUUUAGGAAAAUGGACCCGAAUUUGUGAUUUGACGGUCCCAGAGGGUCCGGUGGAAAAUAUGGGACCUUAGCAUAUGUCCGUAAUUGAAUUUCAAGUUCCCUAGCCCGAGUAAUGAUUUCUUAAAAAUUGUUAACUAAUCAUUAAAUUCCUACGUAUCAGGCUCGUAUUUUGGUUCCGAAGCAUGGUAUAGGGCCGAAGUAUCAUUUAAGACUUGCCCAUAAAAUUUGGUGUCAAUUCGAGUAGUUUAAGUGAAUUUUGACCCGUUAUAGGAGAAAUAAGAACUUGAAGUUCAUAAGUUUGAUUCAUUUGGUUUUAGGGGGGUGAUUCCUAGAUUUUGCAUUGUUUCGAGUGUUUUGAGGGUUCGAUAGGUCUGCCUUAUAAUUUUAGACUUGACGGUGUGUUCGAAUAGGGCUCGGGAGCCUCGAGUGUCAAAUGGAGAGGCUCGAGUAAAAUAGAAAAAUUGAUGAAGUUAUGAGUUUUGCUGCUUCUGCCAUAACCGCAUCUGCAGUUCUAGGACCAAAGAUGCGGGACUGCAGGUGCGAUCAUGACUCCGCAGAAGCUUCCAAGGGCAAUUCAGGCCAGAACCGCAGAAGCAGCUCCCCAGCCGCAGAUGCGGCUCCGCAGAUGUGGGCCUCAGACCGCAGAAGCGGUAUCUAGCCCCUUUUGCCCAGUUCCGCAGGUGCGACUCUUCUUCCGCAGGUGCGGGAUGACAGAUGCGGUCCGCUGACCGCAGAUGCAGAAAUCGCUGGGCAGUGAGGUUCAUUUAAUCCGGGUUCUAAGUCAUUUGAACACAUUAUUCACUCUUCCUUUGGGCGAUUUGGGAGCUUUUGAGAGGAGUAUUUCAUCUAGCAUCUUGAGGUAAAUGUGUGCCACCUAUUUGUUGUUUAAUAUCAUUGUUUUAGGUAUAUUAAAAACUAGAAAUUAGGUAAAAAUUAAGGGGUUAGAGCAAGACCUAGAGUUUUAUAAGAACUUAGAUUCAACCACGAAAUUUGUUAUAAAAUAAACUAGAAAUCAUAUAUUAUUGAUCGUUAAGUAGUAGAGAACAACUUCCUUCAAAAAAUCUCGGAAACGGGGCACGUGGGCCCAGGGUCGUAAUUUAGGAAAAUCAUGUAAAUGGUUGGAAAAUUGCUUAAAUAACUAGAAUUCAAUCUUGUGAGCCUAUAUCAACUAGUUGUUACUUUAUUUAACUACUUUGUGAUCGUUCCGCUCCGAAUUGAGGGUUUGGACUUAUUCUUGAUAUUUGGAAGUGCGCUUUGGAGGGAGGUGAGUCUCCUUUCUAACCUUGUAAGAGGGAAUUGUCCCCAUAGGCAUAAAAAUUGAGAAUUCGCUACUAAAUGCGAGGGCUACGUAUGUACUAGGUGACGAGAGUCCUUGCGUAGCUACUAUGAUAUUAAUUAUUUGGGUAGUUUAGGACCCACAUCACGCCUAAUUUGUGAAUAUUUUUGUAUUUACUUGAUAAUGAUCAUUUAUGAUAUUCUAGAGACUUGGGAGAAUUAAAAGUGAACACGUGAACUUGUUGAACCUUUGUGAGAGUUUAUUUUGUAUAUAAAUGCGUCUUCGUGUGUAUUCUUGAUGUUUCUUGGUAUUUAUGGAUCGGAUCGAUCCCCUCGGUGUGAAUAGAUGCAUCUAUGGUUUGCGUCAUUCGACCCUCGGUAGUGCACAAUUUAUUUUAUGUUGGAGCGGCCCGUCGACCUCGGCAUGAUUGCGCAUGAUAUCUUUGUUGAAGCUUAUACAUGACAUGUUUUCUUGCUAAGUAUUUGAAAAUGUAAAUGGCUAACUGAAACAUGGUCAAGAACAUGAUUAUUGCUCUUUGUUACAAACUGUUGACUAUUGAUUCUCAUGCUUAGCAUAGCACAUUAUUAUAUUAUUUUGACCUUUGUAAGUAUCAAGUCGACCUCUCGUCUCUAGCUCUUCGAGAUUAGUGAUAUCUAUGAAUUAUACAUGUUAUACCCAUUCUUACCUGAGCUUUGUGCAUAAAUUAGUUCAAAUUAGUCCUAAAUUUCUUGCAAGGUGCGUUUGAUUGCAGGUUUGAGCGACGAGAUGAUAUAUAUCACAAAUCGGCUCAAAAGAGGAGUGAAAACUGCCAAGCGCCAAAAGAUAACUCAAAGUGGGAAAAAGGUCACCUACGGAGACCGCACUGUUCUGACGUGCGGCCGCGCAUAUGAGUUUUGCAAGAAUCCAAGUCUAGCCUAACCUGCAUGGACCGCCCUAUUUUGUCACACGACCAUGCAUGAUAGUUUAGAGAGUGACCAAAACUGAGGAAACCCCACGCGGAGCUCAUCCAUUUCCAUGCGGUCCGCACUUACAAGAGAUUAGAGGUUCAGAAAAUAAGGAAAAAGGCCCACGCGUCCGCACAUCAAUGCAGUGCGGUCCGCGUGGGAGAAGUUCAGAGAACCAGCAAUUUGGGAAAACCUUCUGUGCGUCCGUGCACCAUUUCCACGCAGUUCGCAUCAUUGUAGCUGUGGGGCCGCACGCCAUUUCCACGUGGUCCGCAUGGCUUGACCUAUGCGGUCGCAUGUCAUUCCUACGUGAUCCGCAUCCUUAAGUCCAGAAGCUAGACCUGAAGACCACAUGCCCUACGCGGCCGCAUGACAUUUCUAUGCGGUCCGCAAUAGACCCUCAGGGGCAUUUUAUUUGGAUUUUUCCUGUGUAGUAUAAAUAGAACACUUCAUUUUUUUAGGUUAAGUUUUAUCAUUCUCUAUAGCAGCUGAGCUCGUGAUACUGGAUAUUAGCCUACUUUAGGCAAUUUUCUCUCGUAAUUAGCGUGGAUUUAAGUAGAUUACUCUUGUAAUUAAUGGUUAUGUUAAUUUCUUCUAGUAUUUCUUCUUUUUCUACUUCUUCCAUGUCUAGCUAAACCCAUUGGCUAGGGUUGUGGCUCGACCCUAGUGUGGGUAAUUAAUUGGUAUUUUUAAUUAAUGCUUGGAUGAUAUUGGGUGUUUGGUAUUUGGGUUGUUUGUAUGUUUUCACUUAGGUGAUUUUGCUUAAUGCUUGGAUGAUGUUGGGUGCUUGGUAUUUGGAUUAAUUGUAUAUUUCACUUAGAUUUGGUGGUUGCAAACACUACGUCUAGCUUAGUGGGUCUUGACUCUUCUUUAGAAAGAGAGUCUAUGACCUCACAUUCAACUCAACAAGGAUUUGGGAUGGACCCAUGAGAAUGGUAGUCCCAAGUAACGGGUUAAACCUCGAGAGAGUAGUCACCUAACUUGAACCUUAAGUUGCUUGGUAAAAUUUGCCUACCCAGUUGGUCUCGAGAGAUUUAAUUGGGAAAAAUCACUCUCUCUACCAAGUUAGAAUUUUAUACCUGUUAAUUAGCCACCUAGGUGAGUGUCAUGACCCUAGUGUCUUUCCCUUAUUGCAUACAACUAUCAUCAUAACUUAGCAUAAUUUAGUUUACAAUAGUAGUUUAGUUGUUAACACAAGAAAAAAACAAAAAAUGAUAGAAGAAUAAUUAGAAGCCAAACUGCAUUUCCAAGCUAGCAAAUACUCAACUCCAAUUUGAAGCUCCAUGUGGAAUUAUCGACCCCGAUACACUAUUGGGUUUUAAGUAGUCGCGCCCACUCUUUCUUAGGAUUGAGUCCGCACCAAUCAAUUAGACGGGAUACUUACUAGGUAUAUGUUAUUUAUGUACUCAUACUACACUUCUGCACAUAAUUGUAUAUGAUCUGAGGCAGGUACAUCUGGUUACUUGUCUGGUGCGUGCCCCUGAGCUAGUGACUUAGACUUCCACGGUGAGCUGCUUUCUUCCUAUGCCGUUCAGCAGCUGGAUAGAGUCUUUCUUUACUUUGCUGUCUUUUCUAUCUCAGACAGUAGAAUAGAGAUAUUCUUUUGUAUAUUCUACUAGAUGUCCAUACUUGUGACACCAGGUCUUGCCACACACAUUGGUAGACAUAUAUUUUGGGUUGUAUAAUCAUGUUAUUUACAUUAUUGAUCGCUUCUGAUUUUAAAUCCAAAUUGUUGUAUCUAUUUUACUUAUCCCCGAUAAAAGUAACAUAAAAUUUUUAAAAAUGUUCAUGCGUUGGCUUGCCUGGCACGGUGUCAGGCGCCUUCAUGACCUAUUAUGGGAAUGGGUCGUGACAGAUACCCUGAGCAGAGUUCCCAAGUCAGCGGGGGCUGACAUUUCCUUUUACCGAGAUGCGCAAUCGGGGAAAGUAUCCGAAGGGGCCAGUUUUGAAGCUAUUCGAAAUGAAGGACAUGCCCAAGUUAUUUGCUUAGGGUAAUAGGUAUAAAUGUUUCACCACUCCACCUCUCAUUCUUCGAGGGGAAGAUUGAAGAAGCUCGGGAAAUAGGGGCCACCGAUGUGGGAACGAUUCAUGAAGGGAGGACCUUUUUUGAGGCUGCUUCACGGGGGUCGAAGAUGCUCCCGAUUUGGAAGUACAAAGCAUAUCCGAUGAGGCGCAUCGACUCUUGAUCCAGGUAAGCCUUAGCUCCCUUUAUCAAUAUUAUUUUUCCUUUAUCAAUAUCGUUUUUGUUUGAUUUUCCUUUCUUUCUUCAUAGGCCUUGACGCUUUAUCGGGAAGAAUUUUCUAAGUGUCGGGCUGAGCUGGACUGGUGUGAGGCCAAGAUCAAUAGGCUCGCUGAGGAGAAAAAUGACCUCAACUUCUUAGCGGGCAAAGAGAAAUGGAAAUCAAGGGCCUUCGAGCUGAAUUGGAAACAAAUCACAAAGAGCAAACCGACUUGAUAGAGCAGGUAGUAGAAAAUGUUUAUAGGUUUUAUGUACCCAUUCGUGGAUAAUUACUCAUACUUUUGAUUCUGCAGGUUCAGCAGAGGGCCGAGAAGAUCGAAAAACUUCUAGAGUCAUCCAAGUUGAAAGGCGAAAACUUCAGGGUGGAAGCAGAACAUGGACCGCCUUGCCACCGAGAAGGAAAUUGCUCGGGCCCAGCUUUUUUUGGCUGAGCGUCAACUCCAAAACAUGAAGGAGGAAAACAUGGUCCGAACCAAGAAGAUUGAGGAUCUCGAGGCCCGACUGGCCAACGAAUUUGCAAAGGCCUCGUUUGAGGCAAAAAAGGUAAAGACCGAUGCGGAGAAGGUCGUGGCUGUCUAUCGAGAUGAUGCUGAAGCCACUCAUGCUCGAGCAAAAGAGAUCUUCGAUGUUUCUCAGGCUCGAGCACUUCGAGUUUUAAAGCAUACCAAAUUCCAAUCUCGGAGAAAGGAUCUAGAGGAGUUCCACGCUCGCGAUUUUGACCUCAUUGACGAGAUCGAGAGAGCUAAGGAGCUAGAAGCCGAAGCCAAAAUCAAAGACAAAGCCUAAGAUUUGCUCUCUGACGAUGGUGGAUCCGAGAACAUGAGCGGUUUCGAGAGCGGAGAAAAUGAAGAAUAGGAAUUUAGAACUUUUUUUUUUGGAUUUUGUGUAAGGCUCUUGUUGGUUCCUUGUACAUAUUGUUUUUUUAUAAAUAAGUUUUUUUCUUUUGAAUGCCUCUUCAAAUUUUUUCUUACUCAUGUUUCGUGCAUUGCAAAAUUUUACCACAUUUUCAUGCUUUGAAUAAUAUGUUCGAUACUUCGACUUUAAAUGAUUCGGUCGAAGCCAUAACAUUACUGCUUUUGUAGUAGGGUUCGAGUGAAAAUCGAAGUCGGAGCUAAAAGCCCCUUAGGUUCAAAUCGAGUGAGAAUGCAUUCUCGAACUCAAAGUGCGUUGGCCCUUAGGCUCUUUGUAUUGGGACGAUAUGACCUCAAAAGAGUGGGGUUUUCCUUUUUCGCCUUAAAAAGUUUAAUUUCAUUAUAAUUUAUCAUGCCUUAGCAUAAGUUUGUUCGAGAGUUCGAACAAUUUAGUACCCAUUAAGGUUUUUGAGGGUUGAAGUUAUCGAAACCCUUUGUAAUUUUGCUAUGGGCGGCCUUGUUUAACCAGUUUUGCAAAAUAUUUGAAGGCCUGUUUUAUUACGGAAUUCUAAUGUCUCCGAACCGCGUUAGUUUGGUCGUAGCCUUCGGGAAUGCCUCUUGGGCUUGUUACCCAAUAACACUUCAAACUUGUUCGAAGUGUAAGUCCACGAGAAUGAUGGCCUUGGCCUAUAGAUCGUGUGAUGCCUCUUUGAGGUCUUAUGAAUUUGACUUUAUAUAACUCGAAUAUGUCAAUAAUUGACGACAGUCCCCGAGUGUUCGAUGCAUAUUUGCGCUUGGACCUUGAACCAUUUCUCACAAAAUUAUAAGUAUGGAGCUCGAAAGAAUGCUUCUUUAAUAUAGAAAGAAUGCUUCUUUGAAUAAUAUAUACAUGUGUACAUGUCUUUCCAUCGCGGCUAAUCUAUAUGGGCACGGUUUAUUCGACCGUUUGGCCCGUUAUAAAUUUUCCCUAUCGAGACCCUUUGACACGAAGUACUUUCCUCGAAAAUAUAAUAUCCGAGGGUUAUUCCCCCGAGUAUUCGAGGUAGAUUGUAAAGACGCAUUUGAUAUUAUUGAAUUUUCCUCAGGUAGCACAUAAUUGUUUCCUUAUCAAAAACCGCGUCGUAAAAACCCACUUGGGAUAAAAACUGAUCUAAGGGAAAAAGAGUGCAACACGUGCUUUAAAACAUAAGGUCCUUGUGUUGAAGAGCUUCUCGAUGUCUUUGAUCAAACACCUGUAAUAAGUUAGUACAAAAUAUAAAUGGAAAAGGGAGAAAGUCAUACCUUAGCAAUAAUAUCGUUUGAGGAGUGAAAUAUUCCAAUUAUUUGGCAAUUGUUAGCCGUACAUCGUGCCGAACUUAUAAGAUCCCUUUCACACGAUAUUGAGGAGUUAGUAGGGUCCUUCCCAAUUUGGGAUGAGUUUCCCUUAUUAGGAUCUCAAGUGUUGAUGGUGACCUUCCUCAGGACUAAGUCCUCGACUCUGAAGUGGCGAAGGUUGGUUCUCCUUCUGUAGUAUCUUUCGAUUCGUUACUUUUGUGCAGCCAUUCGAACAAGUGCAGCUUCUCAUUUGUCAUCAAAUAAUUCGAGGCUAUUAUUCAUAGCCUCGUGAUUUGAUUCCUCUAUUGUAUUCCAAUGGCGCUAGGUUACCCAACUUCGACCAGAAUCAAGGACUCAGAGCCAUAUACCAAGGAGAACGGGUUUGCCCCUGUACCGGACUUCGAUGUUGUUUGAUAUGCUUAAAGGACCUCGGGUAGAAUUUCUCUCAAUUUUCCCUGGCGUCGUUAAACCUUUUCUUUAGAUUCAAAAUGAUAGUGUUGUUUGUUGAAUCGACUUGUCCAUUUCCAUUUGGGUGAUAUGAUGUUGAUAAGAUCCUUUCUAUUUUAUGCUCUUCGAGAAAUUUCAUUACCUUGCUGCCGACGAACUGCGUUCCGUUGUCACAUACAAUUUUGCUGGGCAUCCCGAAUCGGCAUACGGUGUUAUCCCAAAUGAAGUUUAUAACUUCUUUCUCUCUUACUUUGUCGAAGGCCUAUGCUUCUACCCAUUUAGAAAAGUAGUCAGUCAUAAACAAAAUGAGUUUAGCCUUACCUAAGGCCGAUGGUAGGGGACUGACGAUAUCCAUCCCCCAUUUCAUUAAUUGCCAAGGCAAUAUGACCGAAUGGAGCUAUUCCUCGGGCUUAUGGAUCAUUGGUGCAUACCUUUGGCAUUUAUCACACUUUCGCACAAAUUCUUUAGCGUAUUUUACCAUACUAUCACAAUAGUAUCUUGCUCUGAUGACCUUGUGAACUAGUGAUUCGGCACCGAAGUUAUUCCCACAAGUACCUUCACGGACAUCUCGUAAAACAUAAUCGGUGUCUCCUCUUCCUAAACAUACUGCUCAUGGUCCAUCAAAUGUCCUUCUGUAUAGUGUUCCACCUUAAUCUAAUGUGAAUCGAGCAACUUUGGUUUGUAGGGCCCUCGACUCUUUAGGGUCCGAUGGGAGCUUUUUGUUCUUCAAGUAUUCAAUAUAUUUAUUCCUCAAGUUAAGCUUAUAGAGUUUAUCUCAGCAUAACCUUCCUCGAACAUAGAUCUCGAGAGUUUAAUGAUAGUCCCUGAGCUGAUCCCAUCCUUCUCGACCGAUGACCCCAAAUUUGCAAGUGCAUCGGCCUCACUGUUUUGUUCUCAAGGCACAUGCUGCAAAGUCCAUUCCUUGAAACGGUGCAAAGUUACAUAUAGAUUUUCCAAAUACCUUUGCAUUUUAUCCUCUUAAACUUUAAAGGUUUUGUUUACUUGGUUCACCACCACUAAAGAGUCAAACUUGGCUUCAAUUACUUCUGCUCCCAAGCUUUUAGCUACCUCGAUACUUGUAAUUAUGGUCUCGUACUCAGCCUCAUUGUUAGUUAACCUAGAAGUUUUGAUUGACUCCCUAAUAAUGCUCCCCGUGGGCGGCUUCAAAACAGUGCCUAGCCUAGACCCCUUCAUAUUUUAAGAACCGUCUGUGGAAAGGGUCCAUAUCUCGAUGAUGUGCCUGAUUUUAACAAGAGUUCAUUUUCGACUUCGGGUAUAAGGGUUGGCGUGAAAUUGGCCACAAAGUCUGCUAGAAUUUGAGAAUGGAUGCCCGUUCAGGGUUGAUACUUGAUAUCGUACUCACUGAGUUCAACAGCCCAUUUGGCCACCCGGCCCGAUAGUUCGAGCUUGUGCAAAAUAUUACAAAGUGGGUAGGUGGUUAACACGCAUAUGGGGUGAUGUUGAAAGUAUGAUUUUAAUUUUCAAAAAGUGCUUAUCAGUGCAAGUGCCAAUAUCUCUAAGUAUGGGUAUCUAGUUUUUGCUUCUCCCAAGGUUCGACUCAUAUAAUAAACGGGAAAUUUCGUACCUUUGUCUUCUUGAACUAGGACACCACUUACCACUAUUUUCGAUACUGCCAAGUACAAGUAAAGUUGCUCAUUUGCUUUUGGAGUGUGAAGCAGUGGUGGGCUUGAUAAGUAUUGCUGUAAUUCCUCUAAUGCAUGGUGGAAUUCCGGGGUCCAAGCAAACUCGUCCUUCUUUCUGAGUAGAGAGAAAAAUCUGUGGCUUCAAUCCGAUGACCUUGAGAUGAAUCGGCCUAAAGCAGCUAUCAGUUCAGUCAACCUCUGCACGACUUUUAUGCGUCCACGAUGGUGAUGUCUUCGAUGGCUUUGAUUUUAUCGAGGCUUAUCUCGAUCCCCAAAUCUGACACCAUAAAACCUAGGAAUUUGCCCGAACUGACCCCAAAAGCACAUUUCUCAGGGUUGCGUUUCAUGCUAUAUUUCCUCAAAAUCUCGAACAUUUCUUGAAAAUGAGCCAAAUGGUCAUCUGCGCAUAGGGACUUAACUAGCAUGUUAUCGAUAUAAACUUUCACUAACCUAUAUAUUCUUUGAGCAUUUUAUUUACUAGGCAUUGAUAAGUAGCUCCUGUAUUUUUAGCCCGAAGGGCAUUACAUUAUAACAGUAUGUUCAUUCGCCAUGAAACAUUAUAACACUAGGUACUGCUUGAGAGUUUGACAUGUUGAUUCCUGAAAUAAAAGACAUUUACAAGAAUAAGCGUAAAAGCAGUAUGCGUCAUGGGAAUCAAUAUUAAGCAAUCACUAUUAUCCUUAGCCCCACAGCGGGCACCAAAUUGUUUACCCAUAAAAUCGAGCAACAAUUAAACUUGUAUUGUAGUUUUCAAGGACACAUGAUUUUACUUAACACCAAUUGACUAAUUUUAAGAUAAGGGACGAAUUGACAGAAUAUAAAAUAAACUAGUGUUUGAACAGUGCCCUCAAGCUGAUGAAUGAUCAAGCCCAACUAUGCCUUAUAAAAAGGACAAUGUGAAUUGCAAAUAUAACCUAAAUAUUCUGGCCAGAGUCAAAUCCACAAAGAGUUAACCUAUCAAUCACCAUCUUUAGACCCACUAAUCUCUUGAGAACCACUUUCCCAAACAUUUGAAUCACAGUUGAUGGUGUUAUUGAUAACUAAAAUUGCAACUAAAUAAACAGCUGUAAACUAAGGAUGCUAAGGUUGUAAACAAUAAUGAGAAAACGCUAAGGUAAUGACUUCCCCUAUUGAUGGAAUCCCUUCUCUUUAUGUUUCAUACGAAUUAACCAAAACCUCUCUAUCAAUCCUGAACGCUCAUCUUAUCAUAAAUCUCUCCCGAGUAAUCACAGUAAUAUACUAAAUGCACUCUACCGAGAUACACUAGCCAGCUUUAAUUAACAUUGUUCACUUUAGGUUGCACUCAAGGCUUCGUUAUCCCUAAUCCCGCCUUUAAACCAGCAGUUGUUGAUCCCUUAUAUCCUUUGGCAGUGGUGUUGUUCAACAAUAACCUAAAUAUGCACUCUCUCUUGAGAUAUGCACACUAAAUAGGCACAUCUAAUUGAGGAUCUUGUUAAUUAACUACAACAAACACAAAGCUGAACACAUAGAGAUUGAAACUAGCAAUUUGUAUUCACAUAAACAAGAAUUUCAUCCCCCAAUAGGUUCCAUAAAAAUCUUAGACAAAGGAUUUAGCUACUCAUAACUAAGGGUAAACAAGCUAAAACAAUAUUCAUCAUAAAACUUGCAAGAAAAAUCAAAGAAAAGAAGAAAGAUGUUUUGGGAGAUCGCUCACAAUUGUUUUCCUUGCCAAAAUACUCUCCAAAUCAAUACAUGCCUCUCUUGGGCGAAGUCUAGUGUUCAAAGGCUUUUGGGCUAAAAAUCUCGUAUUUUGCACUUUAGUCCCUGAAGUUCUCCGCCUCUUCCGCGGUUCUGCCUUGAGCUGUUCGCGUGGUUCACUUGACGGAAUUUCACGAUUGGCCUCUUUUUCUCCAUAUUUGAUCCCAAAAGUACUCCAUAGCCUUCUCUUGUCAUAUAUGCAAAGCAUGAAAAGCACUAAUAAGGGCAUUUUGUUAUCAGUUUUAUCAUCCAAACUAUACAAAAAGGUGGUCAUUUAGGGCCUAAUUAUAGUUAAAUUCAUCUAUUAUCAAUGAACCCUCAAGAGCAGUAGGAUAAUGAAAGUUAAAGAGCGAUAAUUGAAGAAUAAUAUUAAAAAUAUGGUAAGCUGAUGAGCAAAAGAAAGAAAUAUUAUAUUGCCUUGAUCUGUGUGAAUGUAAAAUAUGGUCUACAAAUGGUGGGGACCCCUCUUUAUAUACUAAGGAAUCCUAAUUGUAGUACAUUUUAAUGACGGAAGUAAAUUCCAUGAUUGAUACAAAUAACCUGCAAAGCAUGAAAAGCACUAAUAAGAGCGUUUUGUUAUCACUUUUAUCAACCAAACUAUACAAGAAGGUGGUUAUUUAGGGAAUAAUUAUAGUUAAAUUCACCUAUUAUCAACACCUUACACUUAAAAUUUUGCUCGUCCUCGAGCAAGUUAAACCACACUUCUAGGACUAACCGUUCGAUGCAUUACCUAAUAUUUAUGCCACACCCACCAUUAUGAAGGAACAACCUAAGCAGUGCAACAAUCACGCCUCAAAUGAAGACUCUAACACCAUGACACACUCGUGCUCGCUCUAGUUACUCUAACAGAGGUGAAAACUCACCUUUUCUUCCUGAGUCACAUGCCCUCACAUCAUAAUUCUGAGAGAUGUUCCACACACAUUAAAUUCAAGCAACAUGGAACCAAAAUAGUAAGAAUUCUCUCACUCUCAGCAAAGAACAUUCACAUGCCACACAGACACACCAUAAGCUUUCCCUUAGUGUAGUACUCUAUUAAUCGAGCUAUUAAGUCAAAGAUCAAAAGGUGUUUAUCUGGUUGUAAUGUAGGCUAAGGAACUGGUAGGAUAUAUUUGGAUAUAGUGACCAACCUCCUUAAUUACUUUCAAUACACACUUCCUUUUAUUUCAAUUUCCAUGCUCAGCCCACUUGUACUUCCACAUUUUAGUUCAUAGGUGACCCUCACUUUUCUUUAGGUGCAACUAGUUUUUUUUCUCUUUUUUUUUCUUUUUUUUUGUUUUAUUUUCUUUAUAUUCCUUUUUUUUACAAAUCCAUUACACCAUUGAAGUAUUUCUUUCCCGAUUCCCCUUUUUCCUACUUCCUUACCACCCCAUACUUUGACUUUUGUAUCUUUAGUAAUUCAAGUGCUUCUAGGAGGUACAGGUUCAAACAGUCAAACUAUUCAAAUACAGGGAUAUAGGUCAUUAUAGGGAUAUCAAGGAACAUGCUUCAGGCUCAAAGGGGUUAACUAUGUUAAUAUAUACAAGUGGAUUCACAAUUAUACAGGCUAUACAAAGAAAUGCCUCAAUCAUCUCUAAAACUAAACAGCUUCUAUUUCACUUUGGAAACACACAUGGUAAGUUCUAGGUAUCACAUGCAAGAACAUAAUACAAGUGAUAGCUGACACAACUUGGCAUGUAACUCAUUCUGAAUCAGUUUAUCAACACAUUCAUACGAGCGUUCAAGCAAGACAAGGUGUGCAAAAUUAAGGCAUAGAUUUACGAGUCUACAAACGAGCCUAGACGUCGCACUCUCAAGUUCGUUUGUUUUUGUUAUUUGCAGGUGUGAACAUUAAGAGUUGCAUUCUAGCCUUCACCCAUCUUGGUCCAAUGGAGUCCUAAGGUCCUAAAAUUACAAAAUAAAAAUCUACCUAACCCGGUUCAAGAAAAGCCCUUGCGAAAAGAACCAUGGUCAAAAGUAAAACCAAGGAAGAAUUACUACACUACCUAAAAAAGAAAUAUAAAAUAAAAUAAAGAAACUACAUGGACUACUUCCCUAAAGAGUACUAUCCAAGUGGUCCGUCCUCAAGAAGAGUCCUCUACAUUUUUUUUUCAGUUUUCAGAUUUUUUUAUGUAUCCGUCUUUGAACCUCAAGAGACCCGUCGAUAAGUGUCCGUCGUUGGGCCAAGUCAGUUACUUCUAACAUGAGUACAGUCAAUCAUAAACAACAACAUCAAUCUAAUACAACAACAUUCUCAAUGUCUAUAUACACUACAACAUACUACUAGAGCAAGUCUCCCAGCCCACACUUAAAAUUAUGGCAUGUCCCCAUGUCAUAUAUAAAAUAAAGAGUAGAAGGGUAAGAAGACUUCCAUGAGCCUCAAUCAGAGUCGGAGACGGUGCUGGGAUCCUCAUGGAAAGCUCUCCCCAAAGCACGAAACCUGGACAUAUAAACCGGCUCUCAGACCUGGCCUGCCGCUGGGACAUGGCAUCCAUACGCGUGUGUAGGCCCUCCAUUGAGGUGCGAAUAUUCGCGACCUCUUCCUCCAUAGUACGCAACAUAGGAUGAGUGUAAUGUGAUCUGGAUAAGCAUGCCCCAGCAUGGGGGCACCGAGAGAGUUCGGCACUGUCAUAGGUUCUCCUGGAUGGUGCCCUGGGAACCGGGUCAUCAUCCUCAUCAUCGAUCUGAAUGGUGGUGCGAGCACCCCUGCCCACUCUGAUGCCUGCAGCUUUGAAAGGUAAUUUAGGGGGCAACUCUCCAUUAGUAAGAUUGGUGGGGACAUUCUUCAUCAGUGUGAGCACGUGAUAUUUGCCCUAUAUGAAAUACUCCUACAAAAUCAAAGAAAAAUAGAUUUUUUCUUAAUUAUUUACCAUUUUUAGGAAUCUUUACAGAUUUUGUUAAUUGUUUUCAUUUUUCUUGCAUGUUUAAGUUUUAUUUAAAUCAUAAAAAAUACCAAAAAUAUCACUUUACACUUCUUAGGAUUAAUUAGUAAUUACUUAUUUUUAAAAAAUUUGAAAAUUACAAAAAAUGCUUCAUUUUCACACUUUUUCCUUUUAUUGAUUUUUCUCUUUUAAUUUAGGAUUAAGUAGCUUUUAUAAUUUUUAUAAUUAGUUUAAUUUUACAAUUUAGAUAGUUUAGGAUUUUAAUUUUUAGGAUUUUUAAUCAAAGAAAAGAAAAGAGAAUAAGGACUAGGUUUUAAAUUAAGUAAUUGGGCCUAUUUAAAGCGAAAAUCAGUCCUAAAAAUUACCCAAACCCGUCCAAACCACUCAGGCCCAAAAAAUUGACCCGACCCGCUAAGCCCAAAUCAAAUGAAAAGAAAAGAAAAGAGAAUAAGGAUUACAUUGCAAUGAGGUUUUAUAUUAAGUAAUUGGGUUUUUUUAAAACCCAAAAUUAGUCCUAAAAACUAUCCAAAUCCAUCCAAAGCACCUAGGCCCAAAAAAUUGACCCGACCCUCUAAGCCAAAUCCCCUCAUUAAAAUCCCUAAAAUCUAGAACCUUCUGAAAGAGGGAACACGCAAAAAUCGAAGACCCUCCCCUGAACUAGAGACACGCGAAAAGCGUGACUCUUUCUCCCAUCAUCUUCAACAAAAAGGCCCCUGCUCCUCCAUUCUCUUCAUAUAAAAUCAACCAUAACAUAUACAUAGUGGGGACAUACGCUAAAUUAAAGACCCCUCCCCUUCUCUGAAGAGCUCCCUUUUCUUCUCCAUUCCUGAUCUUCAACAAGCCUAGACAUUAGAGACCUAAAAUCAGACACUUGACAAAACAAAUAGCAGCUGUUGCUCCCUCCUCCAACCAAAUCACCCUUCUCUUUGAUUAAAUACGCAAACACACACUGGGAGGAGAUAGCUAAAAUCCCCGAAUCUAACCACUUUGCCUACCAUAAAACCAUGUGAAAAUCCAAUUGAAAUCGCCACAAAAAUGUAAUGAAAAUCAGCUGACUGUUGGAUUCGUCAUUCGAGAUUUUAUUUAUGGUCGUUGUUUGGUUCCGAUGUUAAUAAAUCGCAAGCUGUCGACAUUUGGGAUAUAUAUGCUAAAUUGAUUUUUGGAUUGUUUGCCGCAUAAUUGGGAUUUUCUGGGUGUCCGAGUGUGAUUUCGACUUUAGAAACGGAAGCUGCGUGUGUUGACACUGCUGUUGUUGAGCUCCAAUCUACUGACGUCAGUGUGUAUUUGGCUUUCUUCUUCUAUUAAUUCGAACCUUGAGCAGCGAGGUAUGGAAUUGUGAUUUCCGUUUGAAUCCUUUGUAUUUUCAAGGUCUGUCAGCUAUUAGGAAGCUUCUAAUAUAACUCUGGGUACGCCCGAGGACGAAUGUUUGGUUAAGUUGGGGAGGAUGUGACGACUUGACACAUCGUCUUAUGUAUUACUGCUUUGUUUCCCCCUUAUUUUAUUGCUUCAUAUUUCAAUAUCGGUAUUUGAGUCGAUCGGGUGUAAUUGAAUUGGUAUUUGGUUGAAAAUAAGGCACAUAGCCUCUUAGAAGGAAGCUUGUUUUGGAAAAGUCAACCGGAUUGAUAAUAAACCAAAUCUUUAUGGUAAGGAUAUUAUUUAUUCCUGUAUAUGUUUGAGGUAAUGAGUCUUACAGGUGUUAUGCAGCAAAGCUUUUAAGUGUUGGCAGUUUGUUUAACUUAAUCUGGAUAGAAGAACUUAGUCCGAUUCGAUUAGCUUCGGGAUAUGAUUUGUGACUUAGGAGAGCGAUCAGAAUUGAAUUUGGAGGCCCGGUGAAGAAUUAGGCUUGAAUUGGCGAAGUUUGAAUUUUUGGCGGAUUCCGGUUGAUAGAUGAGAUUUUAAUCCAAGGGUCGGAAUAGAAUUACGAGAGUUGCAGUAGCUUUAUUAGGUAAUUUUGGAUAUGUCUGCAAAUUUUAAGGUCAUUCGGACAUCGUUUGGUCGGGUUUUUUAUCGAAUAUGAGUUUCGGAUGUUUUAAGAAAAUUUAAGCUUGAAUCCGUAGUAAUUUGAUGAUUUUUGUGUUGUUGUACGUGUUUUUAUGAUUGGAACAAGUUCGUAUGAUAUUUUGGGGUAUGUUGGUGUCUAUGAUUGAGGUCCCGGGGGCCUCGAGGUGAUUUCGAGUGUUCAAACGGACUAGUUUCGGCCUUGGGAGAGAUCAUAUUUUUGCUUUCAUAUGUUGCAGACCAUAAAGCAUCGCGAUCACGUGAGGAGUAACGCGAUCGCGUAGAGUAAUUUGAGGACCUGGAAUUCUUGUGCAUUGCGGUCGCGUGAAGGUUACCGCGUUCGCGUAGAGCAGGGAUGUUGUGCAUCCCGUUUGAAGGAGAAAUGUCGCGUCCACUUAGAUCAUUUGGACUGUUAAAAUUUUUUUGCCUUCGCGUUCAUGUGGGAGAAGUCGCGAAUGCGAUAAAGGAUUUUGGACCUGGGCAGAUUGUUUUUAAACCAUUUCAUCCGCGACUUGGGUUUAUUUUCCACCAUUUUUGAGCAUGCUUGGGAGCUUUUGGCAAGAAAUUAAGAGGGUUUCGAUUGGGAGUCGGUUGGAGGUAAGUUUUAUGAUUUAAAGACGUCAUUUAAUCGAAGAAUCAUCCAUUAAUUCUCUGAAUUUGAGUAUAAAAUUGAAGAAACUAGGGCUUGAGUUUUGACAUUUUCAAAUAGGGAUUUGGUAGGUCAUUUAAGCUUGGAUUUGGUAGUUCUUGGUAUGUAUGAACUCGUGGCGAGACGAGGUCUGGAAAUGUAAGUUUCGUAAUUUUCAAGAACCGGGCCCGGGGCUCGGGUUUUGCUAGUUUCGAGGUUUUUGCUAUAAUAUGAUGGUUUUCGAUUGGAUAUUGUCCCAUUUUCAUAUUGUGAUGUAUUCACUCUGUUUUUUGCUAGAUUUGACGCGUGUGGAGGCCUAUUUGAGGGGCAAAAUCGUCAUGAGCUUGCGAUUUCGCCGGUUCAAGGUGAGUAAUACUUGGGAAUGAUAUCCUGAGGGUUUGAAACUCUGUAUUUGCACAUCUUAGUAUUGUAUUGUUGUGACUUGCACGCUGGACCUGAGCGUGGGGUAGAGCACCAUUGGGAUUGUGACUUGGUUCGUUCCAGUUGUUAGUGUUUACCGCUAAAUUGUAAAUGUUUUGUUGUUAUCAUUAUGACUUGGUCUCAUUGCCAUACUUGGGGCAUAUUGCCAACUAUUUGAACCCUUGUUGAACUAUCAUAACUGUUCUUCCUCACUAUUUGAAAUAUCAUUGAACUCAGUCCAUGUGACUUACAUUGUUUAUUGAACUCAGCUAUAUUUUUACUUAAACUUGGAGUUUUAAACGAUAUUUGAACUAUUAUUUGAGUUGAGUAUAAUUGUUUACGGAUGCCUGAGGGGCUUUUCACUAUUUUGGAUUUAUUGAGGCUGAGGCCCAUAUGUAAGGGUGUGAAGAUGUUGUAAGGAGGCUUUCAGGCCUCGAGUUUUGUGUAAGCAUGUGCACAUACAUGCAUGGAUCGGACUGCACGCCGCAGUAGCAUAUUGCAUGGAUCGAACUGCACGCCGCAGUAGAAUAUACAUGCAUGGAUCGAACUGCACGUCGCAGUAGCAUAUUGCAUGGAUCGGGCUGCACGCCGUAAAUUAUAUAUGGAAUAUUGGAUCGGACUGCACGCCGCAACAUUUUUGCGCUUGGGCUGACGGAGCCCCUCCGGAGUCUAUACACACCCCUAGUGAGCGCAGGGUACCCAUGGAUCGGGCUACGCGCCAUAGCGGUCAUGUGCAUUGCAUUGCAUUCACGCNNNNNNNNNNNNNNNNNNNNNNNNNNNNNNNNNNNNNNNNNNNNNNNNNNNNNNNNNNNNNNNNNNNNNNNNNGGUCAUGUGCAUUGCAUUGCAUUCACGCAUUUACUCCUGUUUGUACUACGUGGCACGACAUUUAGCACUCAUAUAUCAUUAGCAUACAUACUGUUAGUGUUGAGCCCGAGAGGCUGAUGUUAUAUGUUGUGAGUCGGGAGUGAGCCCGCGGGGCUGAUACUGUACUGAGAAGUUGAUGCUCAGCUCUAGGGGCAGAUUUCUGAUUACUUCCUACUGGUUGAAAUUAUCUUUGCAACUGUUGAAAAGGCAUAUUUUCAAAAGAUAUUUUGAACUGAUCUUGAGAUUUUAUAAAGGGAUUUUUACGGUAUUUUGGUUUUUCUCAAAGAGAGUUUUCUAUCUUUUAUAGCAGUUUGGGGUGCUCAUACAAGUUUUCUUAUCGCUCAAAUAUUAUUCUCUCUUAUUACCACGGAGUUGGAAGUACUCGCUUUACUCCCUGCACCUUGCGUGCAGUUCCAGCUAUUGUUCACCUGAUAGUAGGUUAUUAGUAGGAACGAAGGCCUUAUUGUGGUAGUUGAGCAAGGUGACCGCCAGCGUUUGCGGCACUGCACUCCAACUUUGUAUUCCGGUUUUAUCUUGUAUAUAUAUACAUUGUUGGUCCAGUAGUAGUGACCCUACUCAUUAGAUGCUCGUGACUUGUGACUCCCCGGUCGGGCUGUAUUGGUAUUCAUAUUAAUUAAUGUCAUAAAUUUAGAUUCGAUCUGUUAUAUAACUGAAUAACUGCUUAGAGAGGAUUUGGGGUUGUUGGCUGGCCUUGUCUUCACGAGAGGCGCCAUCACGACUGCGUAUGGAAUUUGGGUCGUGACAAGUUGGUAUCAGAGCCUAGGUUACUAGGUCUCACGAGUCAUGAGCAGGGUUAGUAGAGUCUCGCGGAUCGAUACAGAGACGUUUGUAUUUAUCAUCGAGAGGUUGCAUAACCUUUAGGAAAACUUCCCCUUCUUGAAAUUCUUAUCGUGCGUACUUGAUUCAGCUUUAGAUAUAAUUCUUGAUAUUCCUUCCACACGUCUGUAUGCGCACGUGAGUGCUCAGUAGUAUAUGUGCCUUGAUGGCUUGUGAUUCCAUCGAUCGACAAGCAAGAGGUAAUCUCCGUGAGUUCGGGUUGGGCCAGUCUGGAGGACUAUUUGCUUAUGUCUUGAGCACAGAGGUGCCAAUUGUGUGAGCAAGUGUUUUGAACUUGUAUGUUCAGUAUUGUUCUUAUUAGCCGGAAUGGCGGCCGGAUAUCCAUGAUAUGGGUAUGUUAGUACUGGGAGGUGUAUCUAUAUAAUUUUGGUAGUGACGAAAAAGUCUGAUGGAUAAUAGAUGAGCUGUUAGGUGCUUGUUUCCUAUUACGGUCUAUUGUGUAUCACGAGGCAUGGGCGCGUGAAGAAUAUUUUCGUAUCCCCUAGCUGGAAAGUGAGGUGCAAUGCAAGUGGCGGUAUGAGUUCAUACUCAGGAAGACUAGAGGAUAUGUGUAUUCACAAAACUUGUAAAUGAUUUGAGUUUGAUCUCAUUGUGACAUCAUUAGAGUAAAAGUGUUAUGAGUUGCUAAGAGUGCAUUAAUAUAUGGCUUCGAGCCAAGUUGGGGAGGUUGUUGUUGGUUAGCUGAUUGCAUGGUUAUGUGCUACGUCGGUUCUGUUUUGAGAUAUGAUGGCGGAUCAUCUUUGGUUACAGAAACUGAGCCGAGGAUGGCACGUGUGAAGGAAAAUUUCUACAAAGGUUAUAUGGUGCUUUCGCAGAGAUUGAGCCGAGGAUGGUAUAUGUGAAGGAAAAUUUCUACAAAGGUUAUAUGGUGCUUUCGUAAAUGUGAGAAAAAUACUAUGAUGUUUUGAGAUGUUAUUGAUAAAGAAUGAUCGGUGCAUAAAUGAUCGGUGCAUAAAGAAGGGAAAAUGGUUAUUUGUAUCUGUAUGAAAUCAUGUUCUGCGGUGUUAGGGUGCUAAUGAGGCACGAGUAGUUCCAUUUAUGUAGAGCAGGUGAAUUGCAGCUGAAUAAGAGUAAACGACUCUCGUGAAUGGUUGUACUAUGUUCAAGAAUUUGCAUGUAACAAUCAGGUGUCUUAAGUUUGUGUAUGUGGCUAGAGACUGUGUUUUCAUUAGAAAAGAUCAAGACUUGUGGUAUGUUAUGUUAAUUAUGGGAUCCUAUGUAUCAAUAUCUGGGAAGUAAUGGUAAUGAAUUCAGAUUAGCAGGAAGUUCUUCGGUGUAGAGCAUUCUGGAAUGUGGUGCUUCCGGGAAGCAUUCAAGAGGGUAUUCAGUGGCAUAUGGGUCUUAGAUGGUGUGGUAUUAUGUGGGAGUCUCGUGUGGCAACCAGAGUUGAGGUAUUGUGGUGCUACAGCAAGGGAGAAUAUCAAAUUAAUGAUGAAUCAGGAAGGAAAUUGGAUAAAAUGGAAUAGCUUGAUAAUGAACCGAACCGGUGCGGUAAGGAUAUGAUUAAUUAUUGUAUGUUCGAGGUAAUGAGCCUUACAGGUAUUGUGCAGCAAAGCUUUUAAGUGUUGGCAGUUUGUUUAACUUGAUCUGGAUAGAAGGACUCAGUCCUGGCAAUUUAGCUUGAGUAAGGGAAUUGGGAGAAAGAGUCCUUGAUGUGUCUUACCGUGGUUCGAAGAUGGGUAUAUUUCCUAUGGGCAUGCGAAGCAUGGAGUGUGUAAUAAUUUUUCUCCUAUAUGGGAUCCUGAAAGUUCUUGACUAGCCUAUGGGUAUGCGAAGGAUGGAGUGUGUAAUAAUUUUUCUCCUAUAUGGGAUCCUGAAAUUUCUUGGCUAGUUGAGUGUGUCGAUGUUUACGGCACAUGAGAGAGAUAGAAGUCCUCAUAUUAUCCUAGUGUGGUUUGGUCUAUAUGUCAUGAUAUGGAGAAUUGAGGUUUGCGUGUUCAAGGUUUUGGUUAAGUUCAUAAUGGGAAAUCAUUAAUUCUUGAGUAGCACGGACAGCUACAGAUGAGUAAAGAUCCAAUCUUCAGAUGAUUAAGGUGAUGCAAAUUGAUGAUACGUCAGUAGCAUUGCGACAGUUUCUUGUUGGAUCGACUGCGGAUAUUUGAGGUUGUUGAUGGCGCAGGGAAUUUUGAAUAUCUUUCGUGGUAUGAAUGGAUACUUGAGGUGUGCUAUGUAUUCAUAUGGAAGAGUGUGGGAUCAUUCUCAAUGAUUCAUGCGUUAUAUGUGUUGAAAACUAGAAGUUCUCGUGAUCCGACCAUGCGGUGGUUGUGGGUCGUGUGUAUCGACAUCGUCUAGNNNNNNNNNNNNNNNNNNNNNNNNNNNNNNNNNNNNNNNNNNNNNNNNNNNNNNNNNNNNNNNNNNNNNNNNNNNNNNNNNNNNNNNCUAGCAGUUGUUGGAAACUGGAGGUCCGAGUGGAUCUUUCUUUGCUUGGUAUGUUAAAUUUGGGUUAUGAUAUUAGAUUGCAGACUGGUUGUUCCAAUGACAGGUUGUCUAGAUUCAUGUGUUAUGGGCUAAGUCAUAAAAAGCCACGGGUUACGUGGUAAGGUGCAUCGAAUUAUUGUUCGAGCAGAGUAGUUUAUUUUCAAAGACCAGCGGAUGGUUGGCAAGUGUGCUUUGUUAAUUGGGCCUUCAUGGGGGAUGUUAGUUCAGAGGUUUCGACCAUUGAUGUAGUUCCGGUAUUUAGGGACCUUUCGGAUGCGUUUCUUGCGGCCGGGCAUGAGGUUAUAUGUGUUUAUUGUAAUGAGAAAUUUGACUCGAUGUGCAUCUCCUUUUGUGAGAUAUAUGUGCAGGAUCGGGUGGCACGCCGCCACGGGUAUGGUAUCUGGAUCGGGUGGCACACCACCACAGGUAUGUUAUUUGGAGCAGGUUGCACGCCGCAACAAUGUGAUGUGGAGAAUAUUUAGGUAUGGUAUCUGGAUCGGGUCGCACGCCGCCACGGGUAUAUUAUUUGGAUCGGGUUGCGCGCCGCAACAGUGUGAUGUGGAGAAUAAUUUUCUAUAUGUUACUUUGUAUGCCUUGCUUUAUCGUGGGUGUGAUGGAUUGCUUGGCUUCAGACCUCAAUCUGUGCGUGGCUAUCUGUGUUGAGCAUAGUGACUUGGGGUGCUUCAUGGGAAAUAGUGUUUGGAUAGAAUCGCGCGUUGUGGAAGGCCACGUGAUGUUAUGACCUUUCGAGGAGGAUUCAGGUACUCUAUUUCUAUAUUGUGAGAUAGGAUCUCAGUUUUGUGUUGUGAUCGUACGGAGGAAUUUGAGUUAUAGCUCUUUCGUUUGAGUCAGUUGUCAUGAUUUGAGUGUGUUCAGAUCGUUUCUUAUUGGUGCCNNNNNNNNNNNNNNNNNNNNNNNNNNNNNNNNNNNNNNNNNNNNNNNNNNNNNNNNNNNNNNNNNNNNNNNNNNNNNNNNNNNNNNNNNNGUUGUCAUGAUUUGAGUGUGUUUAGAUCGUUUCUUAUUGGUGCCUGUGUUGAGCACGUUGUGGCUUAGGUUGGUGAUGAGGUGUCAUAUCACCAGAGUGGCGUGUUGUAGUUGAGAUGAUCGUUGCAGUCAUUAAUGAGCACGGACAUAUUUGAUUUCAGCUUGUUAGAAAGGUAAUAUCGAGGUUUGGCUCCGAAAUCUGUUGUAGUAUCAGUCAGAAGGGAAAUGUACUCAUGAAUGGGUGAUUCGAGAGAUGGGUUCAGUGUUUCAGUUGCCGUUGGCAGUAUAUGAAGGUGAUGGGAUAAGACUUUAGCUAAUAAAAGGGUUUUCCUAUCAGUACUUGGUUAUGGUGGGCAAUUGUUGGAAAUAGAUGCUAUCGUUUCGAGUGUUGGAUUAUGUGAUUUGUUGCAUGGGUUCACCUGAGAUUGCAAGUAUGGGUUAUUACAGUUGGUCAGGGUUUAUUCUGAAUAUAGAAGUGAGGUUCUAAUCUGGUGUAUGAUUUCGGGAAGUGCAAUGUGGUUAAUGGUUUAGAUGGACUGUGAAAUUUCGGCUAUGUUAUGUUAUCGGACCUCUGUGAGAUAGGGUGAUGUGGGAUCGCCCUGGGUAUAGGCUUGGUAAGGUCUUUUAGCUAUUGGGAAGCUUCUAAUACAACUCUGGGUACGCUCGAGGACGAGCGUUUGGUUAAGUUGGGGAGGAUGUGACGACAUGACACGUCAUCUUAUGUAUUACUGCUCUGUUUCCCUCUUAUUGUAUUGCUUCAUAUUUCAAUAUCAGUAUUUGAAACAAUCGGGUGUAAUUGAAUUGGUUUUUGGUUGAAAAUAAGGCACAUGGCCUCUUAGAAGGAAGCUUGUUUUGGAAAAGUCAACCGGAAGUUGACUUGUGAGUUAGAAAGCUCAGAUGUGAUUAACGAUGAUUCGGUUAGCUUUGGGAUAUGAUUUGUGACUUAGGAGAGCGAUCAGAAUUAAAUUUGGAGGUUCAGUGUAAAAUUAGGCUUGAAUUGGCGAAGUUUGAAUUUUUGGCAGAUUCUGAUUGAUAGAUGAGAUUUUGAUUCGAGGGUCAGAAUGGAAUUCCGAGAGUUGCAGUAGCUUCGUUAGGUAAUUUUGGAUAUGUCUGCAAAUUUUCAGGUCAUUCGGACAUCGUUUGGUCGGGUUUUUGAUUGAAUAUGAGUUUCGGAAGUUUUAAGAAAAUUUAGGCUUGAAUCCCCGGUAUUUGAUGAUUUUUGUAAUGUUGUACGUGUUUUUAUGAUUGGAACAAGUUUGUAUGAUGUUUUGGGGUAUGUUGGUGUCUUUGGUUGAGGUCCCGAGGGCCUCAGGGUGAUUUCGAGUGUUCAAACAGACUAGUUUCGGCCUUGUGAGAGAUCAAAUUUUUGCUGUCAUAUGUUGCAGAUUGAAUAUUGUCCGAUUUGCAUAUUGUGAUGUAUUCACUCUGUUUUUUGCUAGAUUCGACGCGCGUGGAGGCCGAUUUGAGGGGCAAAGGCGUCACGAGCUUGAGAUUUUGCCGGUUCGAGGUGAGUAAUACUUGGAAUGAUAUCCUGAUUUUGCCUGGUGUAUUGUGGUGACUUGCACGCUCGACUUGAGCGUGGGGUAGAGCACCGUUGGGAUUGUGACUUGGUCCGUCCCGGUUGUUGGUUUUUACCGCUAAAUUGUAAAUGUUUUAUUGUUAUCAUUAUGACUUGGUAUCAUUUCCAUACUUAGGGAUUACUACCGACUAUUUGAACCCUUGUUGAACUGUCAUCACUGUUUUUCCUCACUAUUUGAAAUAUCAUUGAACUCAGUCCAUGUGAUUUACACUGUUUAUUGAACUCAGCUAUAUUUUUACUCAGACUUGCAUCAUAUAUUUGGCGCAUGCCAUACUUGGGGCUUAUUGUCGAUUAUUUAAACCCUCGUUAAGCUAUCAUCACUGUUUUUCCUCACUAUUUGAAAUAUCAUUGAACUCAGUCCAUGUGAUUUGCACUGUUUAUUGAACUCAACUAUAUUUUUACUCAAACUUGGAGUUGUAAACGAUAUUUGAACUAUCAUUUGAGCUAAGUAUAAUUUUUCACGGAUGCUCGAGGGGCUUUUGACUAUUUUGGACUGAUUGAGGCUGAGGGUCAUAUGUAAGGGUAUGAAGAUGCUGUAGGAGGCUUUCAGGCCUCGAGUGUUGUGUGAGCAUGUGCACAUACAUGCAUGGAUCGGACUGCACGCCGCAGUAGCAUAUUGCAUGGAUCGGACUGCACGCCGUAGUAGCAUAUACAUGCAUGGAUUGGACUGCACGCCGCAGUAGCAUAUACAUGCAUGGAUCGGACAGCACGCCGCAGUAGCUUAUUGCAUGGAUCGGUCUGCAUGCCGCAACAUUAUAUAUGGUAUGUUGGAUCGGGCUGCACGCCGCAUAUUUUUGCGCCUGGGCUGAUGAAGCCCCUCCGGAGUCUGUACACACCCCCAGUGAGCAGGGUACCCAUGGAUCGGGCUACGCGCCAUAGCGGUCAUGUGCAUUGCAUUGCAUUCACGCNNNNNNNNNNNNNNNNNNNNNNNNNNNNNNNNNNNNNNNNNNNNNNNNNNNNNNNNNNNNNNNNNNNNNNNNNNNNNNNNNNNNNNNNNNNNNNNUAUGCUUGCCAAUGUCAUUGCAUUCACGCAUUUACGCCUGUUUUUACUAUGUGGCACGACAUUUAGCACUCAUACUAUCAUUUACAAACAUACUGUUACUUGCCUUGUUGACCAGAUACCAUGGUGUUAUAUGUUAAGGAGUGCUAUGCCCGAGAGGCUGAUGUUAUAUGUUGUGAGUCGGGAGUGAGCCCGCGGGGUUGAUACUGUACUGAGAGGUUGAUGUUGAGCCCGAGGGGCAGGUUUCUGAUUACUUCCUGCUGGUUGAAAUUAUCUUUGCAACUGUUGAAAAGGCAUAUUUUCAAAAGAGAUUUUGAACUGAUCUUGAGAUUUUCUAAAUGUAUUUUUACGGUAUUUCAGUUUUUCUCAAAAAGAGUUGUUCUAUCUUUUAUAGCAGUUUGGGGUGCUCAUACAUGUUUUCUUAUUGCUCAGAUAUUAUUCUCUCUUAUUACCACGGAUUUGUAAGAACUCACUUUACUCUCUGCACCUUGCGUGAAGUUGCAGGUAUUAUUCAUCCGGUAACGGGUUAUUAGCUUGACCGAAGGCCUUAUUGUGGUAGUUGAGCAAGGUGACCGCCAGCGUUCGCGUCAGCGCACUCCAACUUUGCAUUCCGGUUUUAUCUUGUAUAUAUAUACAUUGUUGGUCCAGUAGUAGUGACCCUACUCAUUAGAUGCUCGUGACUUGUGACUCCCCAGUUGGGCUGUAUUGGUUGUCAUAAUAAUUAAUAUCGAAAAUUGAUAUUUGAUCUGUUAUAUGACUGAAUAGCUACUUAGAGAGGAUUUGGGGUUGUUGGCUGGACUUGUCUUCACGAGAGGCGCCAUCACGACCGUGUAUGGAAUUUGGGUCGUGACAUUCUUUUAUUAAUUCAAACCUUGAGCAGUGAGGUACGUUCCCUGUAAAUUUGUUCUCGGAUGUGUUGUGGUUAUGGAAUUGUGAUUUCCGUUUGAAUCCUUUGUAUUAUGAUUUGUUGAAGGAUUCACAACUUGUUGAAUUUCCUCUUAGCUAUUUCAUGUUUGCUGAGAUUGUGAUUUAUGUUGCUUCAAUGGGCUUUGAAUGCGUGUUUGGGAUUUAAUUUGGGUGGAAUAAUAAAAAAUGGUUUGGAAAUGAAUGAUCAAGAGGGCACAGAUGAAAUUUGGGUGUUUCACAUUGCUGUCGCAAUAGUUUCUGGAAAAUGAAUUUCAAACAAAUGAUACACAUUGAUUGAUUGGACGAUUCUAGAACUUUUUACAUGUUUCUGUUAUAAAAUGAGCUAUAUAUUAUUUAAUUUAGCUAAAGAAGUUAUGUACAUAAAGGUGAAAAGCAGUAAGCUAAGUGUUUCAUAUUGUUUUGGGAUCUGAUUUUAACUAUUUAUUUACAUGAAAAUUUUAAAUUCGUCUACGGUAAUGUGCAGCCGUUUCCAUGGAUUAUUAGUGUGUUCAGACGACUGAUUCUUAAAAGUGUCCCUAAAAUCGAUAGUGCUAGGUUACAAAUCAUUAUGAUAUUAUGUUUGUAGUAUCUUUGGUAUCUCCUUUGGUAAUAUUAAGUUGCCUAAUUCUAGUGUUAGUUAGCAUGUGUUUGAGUGCAUUUGUUGUGAUGUGUUUGAGAUUUGCUUAGCUAGUUUUAGUCGAAGAUAUAUUUUUAGUUUGGAUUAAUUUGAGGCUUACACCUACCAAAUUGAUUUUCAUAAAUUCUUGGCCUUACAAUAAUCUUGAAGUAGUUUAGAAAGGAAAAAUUAUGAACACCCGUAUUUGGCUUUAGUUGAGUACAAUUUUUGGAAUAAAUUGAGGUGUACCGUGCCAAAUAAAAUUUCAAAUGCAUGGCCCUCGCAUAAUUAAAAUCCUUAGAAUUCGAGGCGCGCUAUUUAUUGAAUUUCCAUGGCCCUCGCAAAGUUAAUAACGUGCUAGACUCUUUAGGCUCGAGUUUAAUAAAAUUACAUUCCUAAAUAGGGUGGGCAUUUUAUGCGGCCCAAAUCUAAAUCCUAAAAUAUUGAAUAGAGUGUGCCUAGGAUUGAAGGUUCAUUUGAUGCGGCGCAAUCCUAAAACACACUUUAAAUGACGUUCACUUUCUCAAAGAAAUAUUAUAUUGAAUAAAAGUGGUAAAAAGUAAAAAUUUGCACAUAGUCUCUUCAUGUAAUAAAAAUCAGAUUUUGGCCAUUCAUGGCAAUUUAAGAGACCGUGCUAGAACCAUGGGGUCCGAAGGUGCCUAACACCGUCCCUCGGGUUAACAAAAUUCCUUAUUCAGAACUUCUGGUUCGCAGACUCCAAUUGGGAAUUCGAACAUUUUCCUCGGAUUGGGAUUCAAUCUAAACUAGUGACUUGGGACACCAAAAGCCAAACCUUUCCCAAGUGACGACUCUGAAUAAAUAAAUAAUCCCGAUCUGAAUAAUGUCACUUUAAAUGGAAAAACUCCCAUAUGCAUUAUCCUCAGGGGUAGGUGUGUAAAAAGAGGUUGUGACAGCUCUAUCGACUCUUCUGGGGACAAGAACCCAGAACGUUUUGUUCAGGGUUCAGAAUUCGAGUUUAGAAUAAUUGUUGUGUUUGGCUUUAUCUGAUUCUGUUACAUGAUAUGUGCUUAAUGUGCUAAUAGAUUGAUUUUACCACUUUGAUAUUACGUGAUCUGUGUAUAUACUGUGCCGAAACCCAUCUCCUCUCUGAGUCUUCUGAAUUGUGACGAAGGGUGUAUGGUGUACGACUUCUUUUCUAUCUAGUGUAAAAUCCUAAUUUAGAACAAGGUAUGGAUAAGUCGCAAAGCCGGCGAAGCUUUUGUAUUCCCGGAUUGCCGCCUCCUAUUCGGCUCGAGCUGUCCGCUCGAAUAAGCUGUGAAUUGUAUAUAAACUGUGUCGAACCAAAUCUCCUCUCUAAGUCUUUUGAAUUGUGAAGAAGGGUAUACGGUGUACGACUUCUUUUCUCUCUAGUGUCAAAUCCCAAUUUAGAACGAGGUUUGGAUAAGCUGCAAAGCCGACGAAGCUUCUGUAUUCCCGGAUUGCCGCCUCUCUUCGGCUCGAGUUGUCUGCUCGGGUAAGCCAGGUCUAGAACAAACACCCAGGUUUUGAACCUAGAAUAACUCAGUCUCAUAUCAGAUCCCUAGUAGGAACGCUUAUUUGCAUCAUGUGCAUUUUGACUUAAGGGACUCAGUACAUGGGUUGGGCCCGUCUAGGGCUAGAAACCUGAAAUGAAAAGACCAUCGUAAUGCAUCCUACUUGUUUUCUGUGCAUUUAUUUGCUCGGGCUUGCAUGUUGAACGGCUUUUGAAUCUCGAAAACGUUAGAUAAAUGAGAAAUUAGAAAAUAUGAAGACGGGGAGUUAGAAAAACCAAUAACCAAGUACUGCUGUCGGAACUCUGCCGAAAUUUUGAAAAAUUGGAAAAAAGGAAAAAUGUUUUUUGUUUACCAAAGGUCAAAAAUGGUUUUGAAAAAGAUUUUUGUCUCAAAAUUAGUUAGCUUAUUUGACGAACUACACGGGUCUGAUUCUCACCGGAUGUGAGAUACGUAGGCAAACCUCAUCGUUUUCGAUCCCAAUUUUCAAAAAAAAAUCAAAUAUAUUUUGCUUAGCUUCUGUUUAAUAAUCUUUCCUUAGAAAAUUCAAAAACUAAAAAUUAGCUUUAAAUUAAACAAAAUGGUUUCCUUCUUUCUAAUAUCUUUCAUACGAAAAAAAUAAAAAUCAACAAAAAUCAAAAUCCAAAAUACGAGUUCCCUUCAUUCUGAAGUAUUUUCCAAAAAAAAAGAAAAUUUCAAAAAUCAUAAACAAAAAUCCAAAAACGCCCUUUAGAUGUCUUUUUUUUUGUUAAAUGUCCUUAAAAUUUUUGAAAAAUUGAAGUCCAAAAAUAUUUCGCUUUUCUUUAAAAGUCCCUCUUUCGAAAAUUAAGAGGCAAUAUUCAAAAUCCAAAAAUAUUUUCUGUCUUCCUUAGAAAAAGGUAAAACAAAUGAAAAUUCAAAAAAAAAAAUUCUACACAAAUUUUGAAAAGGAAAAUUUUAAGUCUUCUAAAAAAAAUCAGAAAUCAAAAUCAAAAAUAUUUUCCUUAAAACAUUUUUUUCAAAAUUCCAAAAAAAAGAGUUCAUUUAUUUACCUUAUUUGCACGAACUGCGCUUGGUCUGAUUCGUGCAGGAUCGCGAUACGUAUCCUCAUCGGAUUCGACCGUAAACAUAAGAGAAAAACAAAAGAGAGGGAAGAAAAUAAAAGAAAAACAAAAGGAAGCACAAGAACGGAAGAGAAAUCAAAUAAAAACCAUCGCAAAAGAAAAGGAAAAAUAGAAAAAGAAAAAACAGAAGAAAAAACAAAAUGAAAAAAAAAGAAAAAAAAAGCAGGGAAAAUAAAAGAAAAGCCAGGAUGACGCAUGCAGCCGUUGAUUCGCAAGACUAACCGUUUGCUACUGUAAUUACAGAGUCCGGGUUUAUAAGAAACAUGUGGUUGGUUUUGUGGUAAACUGGCUUUGCACCCCUAUUUUACCAGAUCUAAUGGUAGUACAGAUAUGUCGUCAGAUAUGACCCUGCCAACAAUCUCUAUUUCAGAUGAUAGCCCGCUUUCGGGUAUCCCGGCCUCCGAGUCCUCUGCAGCUGAAGAGAAUAGAAUCUUGCGUCUGAGGGUGAGAUGUGGGACACAUGGACAAAUGGAAAAGAACCCCCGAGUGUCAUCCCUAGAUUUCUCGAGUUGUUCCCAAAGCUAAUAGGUACCUCCAAUGUUACAAUCAGUCACCCGAACAUCACAUUGGGACAGCCUACUAUAUCGGGUCACUAUGUGGGAGAUACUUCUGAGGUUCGCCCCCAAGUAUUCAUGCCCGAGACAGCUCCCAACAUCUUUACGGCUCAACUAUGCUCUGCCACAGUACAACCUUCAUUGCCAAAGCCUGCUUCUAACCCUUGGGUGUUCACUUUCCAGAAUCGUGUCUUUCAGGCAGAUCUUCCAUAUGCUUACCCUCAUCAACCAUCAUAUGAUAUUACACCGGGGCAGGAUAAAACUCCCAAAGCUCCUGAACAAGAUAAAAUAGUGAGAAGAAUGAGGAGCCUCGUGCAGAGCUUUAAAAGUAUGCAAGGCUUAAGCGGGCAGAAGAGUGUCUCCUAUACUGAUCUGUGCAUUUUCCGUCACGUGCACCAUCCCAUGGAUUCAAAACACCAAAGUUGAGAAAUAUGAUGGGCAUGGCGAUCCUAUUGCUCACCUUAAAAAGUUUUGCAACCAAUUGCGUGGAGCUGGCGGAAAAGAAGAGUUGUUAAUGGCUUACUUCGGAGAAAGCUUGGUGGGCAUAGCUUCAGAGUGGUAUAUGGAUCAACACACAUCUCGAUGGCACAUUUAGGAUGAUCUUGCCAAAGAUUUUGUUUGACAAUUUCAAAUUCAGAGUGGUAUAUGGAUCAGGACACAUCUCGAUGGAAAAUUUGGGAUGAUCUUGCUAGAGAUUUUGUUCGCAAUUUCAAUACAACAUUGACAUCGCAUCAAGCCGGAAUUCUUUGUCAAACUUGAAGAAGAAACCCUUAGAAAGCUUCAGAGAAUACGCUAUUAAAUGGCGCGAGCAAGCAUCAAGGGUGAAACCUCCCAUGGAUGAAAUAGAAAUGGUCAUUGUCUUCCUCCAGGCUCAGGAACCAGAUUACUUCCAAAACAUGAUGUCGGCCAUGGGCAAGCCUUUUGCAGAGGCCAUCAAAAUUGGUGACAUGGUAGAACACGGCUCCAUGCUCAGGAACCAGAUUAAUUCCAAAACAUGAUGUCGCCCAUGGGCAAGCCUUUUGCAUAGGCCAUCAAAAUUGGUGACAUGGUAGAACACGGUUUGAAAACGGGUAGAAUCUUGAGUCACUCAGCCAUCAGAGCAACCUCCCAAGCCAUUCAAGGCAGGUCUGAAGGAAUGGCAAAGAAUAGAACAAGAGAAGAAACAACCAUGGCGGCAUCAGGGGAAAGAAGAUACCGGGCUCUUAGACAUGUAUUUUUUGAAAGAACCCCUCAACACUACUAUCCUCAUUCUGAUAUGGUCUAUGCUCCACCACCUUAUGCGGUCAUGAACCCUCAACCUUUCGCCCAACCGCAAUUACAAGAUAAGAGAAAUCAACCUCCAUUCCAAAGAAACCAGCCUCCUCACCAGAACUACAAUAAUCCUUGAUCUCCCCAGAAUAACUUCCAUCCCCGGGAACCACCCAGGAGACCCAACUAUACACCAAUCGGUGAACCCUACUCCACCCUGUUCCCUAAGCUCGUCCAGAUGAAUUUACUGCAACCAAUACCCCCAAACAGGAAAAACCCGGAAUCACCAUCAUAUCAGCGGGGUGUCAGAUGUGACAAUCAUUCAGGGGUAGAGGGGCACGAUACAAAUGGCUGUUGGACUCUGAAACAAGCGAUGGAGAAUUUAAUAGAGCAAGGGAGAAUCGUGUUGAAGAAUGAGGAUGUCCCAAAUGUGACCAAUAAUCCGCUGCCCACUCACAACAGCGGGCCAUUAAUUGGGAUGAUUUGUGAGGACAAAGAAUUUGAUCCGGCACUUAAGGCUAUAAUUGCUAUUGCUGAUGAAGAAAGGAAGCCCGGGGAAGCCCCGAAACAUGAGAAAGGGGAAAAGAAAAGUAAUAUCACCGAGACAAAACCGGAAAAGGAAAUUGAUAUACCCAAGCAAGCCUAUGUGGUAUGGGGGACAAUCAAACCACCUCGACUGGAUGAGCCAGUGGUUAUUGGACGCAUACCACAGAAACCCAAGUACAGUGAAGAGGAAGAUGAUGAGGUUUUUACGGAUGAAGAGAGUGCGCGAAUACGUGAGGCAAUGAGGAAAAUCUCUGCAAAACCCACAUGGUCCAGUCAGGAGAAGGCACUAGCACUGCUAAGGUGUUAUACAUGGGACCAAGCACUAAGCUUCAAAAAUAGAAGGCUACGCCAUUCCUGGUCAGGCGGGAGUCCUAGUAGACUUGUCCUGCCACUUUUUCUGCAUCGCGAGUCAUUCCAGGGUGUGACUCGGAUGUUUUCUUUAGUUUCCUGUCUUUAAAUUCCUGAAUGUUCUUCCCAAAUUCCAAGAAAUGAAAUUAAUAUUUCAUCGUUUAUUUUCUUUAUUUUUUCAGAGUUUGCUAUGUUUUUUACGCAAGUCAUUCCAGGGUGUGACUUAGAAGUUUUCUUUAGUUUCAUGUCUUUAAAUUCCUGAAUGUCUAACCCUGUUAUCUUCCCAAAUUCCAAGAAAUGAAAUCAAUAUUUCAUCGUUCAUUUUUUUUUCCAGAGUUUAUUAUGUUUUUUUUCUCUUUUUCUAAUAAUGCAGUUUUAAAUAACAUGACAUGCUUGCGGACUUCAUGCACAGAUCCCAAGAAUUCUAUCAGGCUUUGAAAUAAUAAAUCAAAAGUUGUAAUACAAAGAAGUUAAAUUUGAGAAAAUAAAAGAAAAGAAUCGGAACAACGGAGGACAAUUGGUUUGUGGUAUGGGAAAGGCCUGUCACUAAAGCAGAGUUUAAGGACAAUAAGUGGGUCUAGACUCGUAUCGAACGUUGGCCUUAAUUGAAAUGGAUGACUGCAAUGUGUCACGGACAAUUGUAUUAACAAAGCAUGGCCCGUGCUUAAAUAAGAAAGCACGACCGGGGAAUUUUGAAGUAGGACAAUUCGUGUUAAGUUGAAAUCUUCCUCAUUACCAGGAAGCAAAAGGAAAGUUUUCUCCUAAUCAGAAGUGUCCAUACAUCAUUGGAAAUAUUCCCAAGAGGAGCAUUGUAUCUGGGUGACAUCAGAAAGAAAUGACCCCGAAGCAGUUGUGAACGCGGAUACAGUAAAAAGGUAUUAUGUCUAAACUUGAUCCGGCGAUGUCUUUGCGCAGUUGAGAUGACGAAGGCUUUCAUUCCCGCUAUCCAAACACUAUCAAUCUCUCACAAACCCUUUGAGUCGAUUACCUUUCUUUGAUUACCCUCUUUGGAACCCGAAAGUGCUAUUGAAAAUAAAAGGAAAAGGAAAAGAAAAGAAAAGAAAAGAAAAGAAAAAGGAAUAAGAAAAAGAAAAAGAAAAAAAAGAAAAAGAAUAAAAGAAAAACAAAACCGAAACAAAAACAAAAACAAAAUUAUUUGCAUGAACUACGUUUGACUUGAUUCCGAAAGAAACGUAGGCAGUUUCUCCCUGAUGUUCAAUCACACCAAAACAAAAAUCCCAAUUCCUCCAAAAAGUGAAACUGGGGCAGAUGAUAAAACUGUUCGGCCGUGAGACCGCCAAUAUGGUUCCAAAGUUGUAGUUCCGCCCAAAAUCCUUUUACCCCAAAUACCUUGUCCAAGUCCUUCUGAUCAAUUGGCAAAGACAUGAAAAUGAAAUACAUUAUUGUUGGAAUCUGAUACAAAUCAAAUUGGGAGAAAUAAAAUGAGAGAGUCUUAUCGAUGAAAACCUUCGGGCGCCACAAGGCGACGGUGAGUAGAGAAAACAAAAAUGAGAGAGUCUGCUUAGCCAAAACUCGCAAAGAGUGCUAUCGGACGAUAGUGAGAAGAGAAAUGAGAGAGGUCGAUUAGGGAAAACCCGCAAAGGGCGUUGUCAGCCGAAAAGAGGAUACUUAAUCACUAAAAGUCCAGGCAAGGUUCCCAAGUUUGGAAAUAUGGGUCAAUGGGUUCAUGAGAAGUUGGAACCCCAGAUAAGUCCUUCUUUUCCCCCGAAAGGGACGGUUCUCUUUAAACUCAUAUGCUUGCCUUUUGCAUACUUUUCUUUGAACCCCUUUCAGUUUAACUCUAAUUCCGUAACAAUUACAAAUAAAAGGUGGCAGGACUGGUUUCACAGGGCUCCGCUGGCAAGAACCAAAGGAAGUACCUAGCCUCAGUGGUGCGUCAGUCCAAUCCCGACUGAUCAUGAUUGUCGAUUUCUCCCAAAGUAAAAGACAUUAGAAAGGAAAAGAAAAUCAAAGGCAAAGGUCUUGAAAGUAGAAUAAAGUAAAAUGACAGAGUCCACACGGGUGAGUCAUCAUGAAAUCCUAAGGUUGAACCCGGUCAGUGUGAAAGAAAGUCACCCUCAACGCCAACAUGCAGCAAAGUUCUCAACGGAAAUGGGGUCGGGGUCAAGCGACGGAGAUGAUCAAGGCCACAAAACCAAACAAUGUUUCAACUAACAAAUUGUUCUUUGUUGAAAACAGGUCUUACUCAAAACAAUCGUGCAAGAAGCAGGUGCAACCCAAAAGAAAUGAAAUGCGCGAGCCUUGAAAUAGCGUUGCAGCAGGAAAAAAGACCAAAAGGGAAGUUUUCUCAAACACUCUUUCAUGCAUUCUAAUAAAUAAAAAGGAAUAACCUCUAAAAAAAGAAAGAAGAAAAGAAAUGAAAAACGAAAAUCCCAAAAGAGAAUCAAAUCAUGGUAGUUGUAGCUUUUUCUAUCCAAAUCCCGUCCAAAAAAACCGAGGAUCUCCCGGCCAAAAAACCGUGGAGCUUUUUCUAUCCAAAUCCUGGCAAAAAAGUCGAGGAUCUCCCGGCCAAAAAACCAUGUAGCUUUUUCUAUCCAAAUCUCAACCAAAAAACCGAGGAUCUCCAUGGCAUAACCCAAGGAGCUUUUUCUUUCCAUAUCCCGACAUAACCCAUGGAACUUUCCCGGUCAUAAAACCGAGGAUCUCCCUGGCAUAACCCAAGGAGCUUUUUCUUUUCAAAUCCUGGCAUAACCCGUGGAUCUCCCUAGCAUAACCCAAGUAUACUUUUCUUUCCAAAUCUCGGCAUAACCCGUGGACCUUUUCCGGCAUCCGGUGACUUACCCAGCAUAACCCAUGGACCUUUUCCGGCAUAACCCGAUGACCUCCCCGGCAUAACCCGAGGGCCCCUUUCUCUUUUCCAGUAUAACCCGGUCAUUUUUUAAGCAUAACCUGGAUUCAUUCACAAUGAUACACAAUCCUAAUCUGAUCGCUUAGAUAUGUGUCACAACUAACUCAAGAAAUUUUCCUAGCAAAAACUGUGGCAGAAAAUUCCGUUCGUUUGUUUGUUUUGGUAUCUUAAGCAGGUUGACCUCAAAACACAGGAUUCGAGAUGCCCAAAAGAAUGUCAAUCCGGAAUAAAGAAAAGAACAAAAGAAGUGAAAUUAAAGUGCUGAAGUGGAGAAGGACGCAGACUGCUCCAGAUAUGAUUGAAGUCACGAGCUUCGCAUGUCCCGCCUUGAUCCAAAGCUAAAAAAUGCACCAGCGGUAACAGCUGACGAGCAUCAAGAUUCAGAUCAGAGUCUACCUCAAGAACCAGCCAAGACUCAAAAUCAAGCUUCAAGAGAUUUAUAAAUAGGAAUCUUGUAACUCAUAGUUGAUAAGUUAGCUAGCUUAGUUUUUUAUUUUCCAUUUUGGUGUAAUAAGGAGCUCAGCAAGUAGAAACAACAGCAACAACAGCGAAAUCACAGCUUCUCGAUAGUCCUAGCUACCAACACUUCGAUAACUACACUGACCCGAUUCCUUUAUAGCCAAGGAUAUGUAGGCAACCUUUGAAGCAAGGUUCGGUCAGACUCAUUAAAAAAAUGCUUCUCAUGGAGUUUCAAAUGGGCAAAAAUCCUUCGUAAUUGCUUAUGUUAUCUUUGCCCAAAAACCCUUCGUGUCUCCGAGCAAAGAGGGGCAGCUGUGAGCUCGUGAUUUUUGCCCUAUAUGAAAUACUCCAACAAAAUCAAAGAAAAAUAGAUUUUUUCUUAAUUAUUUACCAUUUUAGGAAUCUUUAUAGAUUUUAUUAAUUGUUUGCAUUUUUCUUGCAUGUUUAAGUUUUAUUUAAAUCAUGAAAAAUAUCAAAAAUAUCACUUUACACUUCUAAGGAUUAAUUAGUAAUUACUUAUUUUAAAAAAAUGAAAAUUACAAAAAAUGCUUCAUUUUCACACUUUUUUCUUUUAUUGAUUUUUCUAUUUUAAUUUAGGAUUAAGUAGCUUUUAUAAUUUUUAUAAUUAGUUUAAUUUUACAAUUUAGAUAGUUUAGGAUUUUAAUUUUUAGGAUUUUUAAUCAAAGAAAAGAAAAGAGAAUAAGGACUAGGUUUUAAAUUAAGUAAUUGGGCCUAUUUAAAGCGAAAAUCAGUCCUAAAAAUUACCCAAACCCGUCCAAACCACUCAGGCCCAAAAAAUUGACCCGACCCGCUAAGCCCAAUCCCCUCAUUAGUCUUUGUUUGGCUUUGAAUUUCUGUUCUCGAUCAAUGUUUUAGCAUUUUGGAUCACUAGUUUCUUAUUCUAAUCCUAAAUUUCAUGGAUUAGGAGGUCAAAAGAAAAGAAAAGAGAAUAAGGAUUAAAUUGCAAUGAGGUUUUACAUUAAGUAAUUGGGCUUUUUUAUUAAAGCCAAAAUCAGUCCUAAAAACUAUCCAAACCUGUCCAAACCACCUAGGCCCAAAAUAUUGACCCGACCCGCUAAGACCAAUCGCCUCAUUAAAAUCCCUAAAAUCUAGAACCUUCUGAAGGAGGGAACACGCAAAAAUCGAAGACCCUCCCAUGAACUAGAGACACGCAAAAAGCGUGACUCUUUCUCCCAUCAUCUUCAACGAAAAGGCCCAUGCUCCUCCAUUCUCUCCAUAAAAAAUCAGCCACAACAUAUACAUAGAGGGGACACACGUAAAAUCAAAGACCCCUCCCCUUCUCUGAGCUCCCUUUUAUUCUCCAUUCCUGAUCUUCAACAAACCUAGACAUUAGAGACCUAAAAUCAAAUACUUGACAAAACAAAUAGCAGUCAUUGCUCCCUCCUCCAACCAAAUCACCCUCCUCUUUGAUUUCUCAUUUUCCCUUCAAAAAAGUUACGCAAACACACACUGGGAGAAGAUAGCUAAAAUCCCUGAAUCAACUACUUUGCCUACCAUAAAACCAUGUGAAAAUCCAAUUGAAAUCGCCACAAAAAUGCAAUGAAAAUCAGCUGACUGUUGGAGUCGUCAUUCGAGAUUUUAUUUAUGGUCGUUGUUUGGUUCCGAUGUUAAUAAAGCGCAAGCUGUUGACAUUUGGGAUAUAUAUGCGAAAUUGAUUUUUGGAUUGUUUGCCGCGAAAUUGGGAUUUUCUGGGUUCGACUUUAGAAACGAAAGCUGCGUGUGUUAACUCUGCUGUAUUUGAGCUCCAAUCUACUAACUUCCGUAUGUAUUUGGCUUUCUUCUUUUAUUAAUUUGAUCCUUGAGCAGCAGGGUAUGUUCCCUGUAAAUUUGUUCUCGGAUCUGUUGUGGUUAUGGAAUUGUGAUUUUCGUUUGAAUCCUUUGUAUUAUGCUUUGUUGAAGGAUUCACAACUUGUUGAAUUUCCUUUUAACUAUUUCAUGUUUGCUGAGAUUGUGAUUUCUAUUGCUUCAAUGGGCUUUGAAUGUGUGUUUGAAAUUUAAUUUGGGUGGAAUAAUAAAAAAUAGUUUGGAAAUGAAUGAGCAAGAGGGCACAGAUGAAAUUUGGGUGUUUCACAUUGCUGUCGCGAUAGUUUCUGGAAAAUGGAUUUAAAACAAAUGAUACACAUUGAUUGAUUGGACGAUUCUAGAACUUUUGACAUGCUUCUGUUAUAAAAUGAGCUCUAUAUUAUUUAAUUUAGCUAAAGAAGAUAUGUACUUAAAGGUGAAAAGCAGUAAGCUAAGUGUUUCAUAUUGUUUUGGGAUCUGAUUUUAACUAUUUAUUUACAUGAGAAUUUCAAAUUCAUCUACUGUAAUGUGCAGCCGUUUCCAUGGAUUAUUAGUGUGUUCAAACGAUUGAUUCUUAAAAGUGUCCCUAAAAUCGAUAGUGC
rnacentral:lncRNA from 1 species